rnacentral:lncRNA from 1 species
UGCAUUGCAGCUAUCUUUGGUUGCUUGGGCGCCAUCUUGCUAGAGCUCUCCUCAGUGGUGGAAAUGCUCUUAGAUCUAAUAAAAUCCUACACCAUCUUUUUUUUUUUUUUUUGGGGGUAGAACACACCACCUGUUUUAACACAUGAAAAAUGUGUUCGGAUUUACCUUAUUGGGUUAGGUCACAAAAAAUUUAUCCCAUUCUCAGUUUGUCAUCUUACAUUCUAAAUUUAACCUAUUUUUAUUUUAAAAUACUCAAGGGUGCAGAAUGACGCUACAAGCAACUGGCAAUCUUUGGAUAUCAUAACAUUAAUAUUGGGAAAAAGAAUCAAGUUCUUCAUUCUCCACCAACCUUUGAAAAGUAAACUUUUCAUUUGUUUAUUGGACGGUUUACAUAUUUUUUACCUAAUCAAAGAAUUCAUCUAAAAUACAUACAGUAUUUGCAUGAAGAUUUUCGAGUCAUAGUAAAAAAAAAAAAAACCAUUUAUUAAUCUUAUAAUGAAGUAUAAGAACAUAUGAUAUAACUAGUAUCCUGGUCCAGAAACAAAUAUGGCAUGGUGUGUGUGUAUAUAUAUAUAUAUAUACAAAGAGUUUUCAUUUAGGGAUUCUUCAAGUUAGCUUAUUUGAGGGACAUCUUUGUAGGCAGGAGCGGACCUACUAAGGCGCAAGGAGGUGCAGCUGCACCUCCCCUUCUCGGAAAAAUCAUUGUAGGCACUUCAAAUUGCCCCUUUGCUGAACUGGUAUAUAGAUUACCUUAUUUCCAUUUUUAACAUUUUACUUUUAUUUAUUUUUAUAUUACUCCAUUUACUUAAGUUUACAAUGUAAAUAAGGAAGUACCCCCCAUUUGGAUUCAAAUAAAAAUACUAGAAAAUCAAAUUCCCACCAAAUCAAAAUAUGAAAAUUUAGUUUUAGUGCAAAAUACGAUUUAGGCUAAAAAUGAUGGCUCAUUAAGUCAAUAUAUACUUUAUAUUAAAAUCCCAUAAAAUCAAGUUUUCUUAUUUGAUGUAUAAGGAAUAAAAGCCGCCAAAAAUUAUUUUGAGAAAAUGAUUAUUCUGAAAAACCAUUUUUCAUACUUAGUCAAUAUUGCACCUCCACUAAAAAAAUUCUGGGUCCGCCAGUGUUUGUAGGGUUCACUUUGCAUUGUAUUUCACUAAUCCAAACCGUCUAUAUUUUAGAUAAUCAUUCAAAGAUCAUCUCUACAAUAAAUCACUUGAAUCCGAUAUCGUUUGACAACUCAAUUGUGUUAUUGAAAUUUUAGUAUUUUAUUGAAGCAUUGUGUUCAUUGAUUUUGUAGGAUUCAAUUGGAUGUCGAAAUAUUUUCCGAUUUGUCUAAUUUUUUGCAAGGAUGACCUAUGAAUGUAGACUUAAAAAAUAGAUGGUUUGGAUCGUUAGAAAAUAAAUCAUAGGAUAACUUAAAAGGUGUCCCUCAAAUAUAUUUGAGGGAUCUACGAAUGUUUUUUCAACAAUCCAAACUAUCUAUAAAAUACGGUUUGAAUUAAUGAAAUACAAUAUAGAAUGAGCCCUACAAGGGUGUCCGAGAGAUCUCUCAACUGAAGCUCCCUAUAUAUAUAUAUUUGAUUAUAUAUAUAUAUAUAUAACCAAAUAUGGUAGUGAUCAUUGGUGAUGGGAGAUUCCUAUUUGUCAUCUUGAUGACAUAAGAAAUGGUUCAGUUGGAUUAUAAUUGAUAAUUUGAUAACCUCACCUCACGGGCCUUGCUACACAAGUAAUUAAACAUAUUGUCGUGGGAAGAUUCUCGACUGUUGAUGCAUGUGGGGUUCGCAAUGCAUGAACGGUCAAAUUUCAACGAGACGCAUGAGAUUUACGCUAAUAAAAUUCUUUGUAUGAAAGACCCAGUAGCUCAACUUUUAAAAAAGAUUUUGAAGAAAAACCAUGUUUCCUUAGUAGUCUAGAAUGCCUUUUGAUUGAAACACCACCUAUAGGAAAGCAAAUUCACUUUGACCACUUCUCUGGUGCAUAAUAAAUGGUUCUACAAGAAAGGCAUAAUGGAAACAGAAAAAAAGAGAGAUUCUGCUAUAGCUAGAAACAAUCUUUGUGGAACAGAUGUAAAUAGAGAGAAUAUAUAUACGCCGCCGCUCAAGCCUUAACCAGUUAGUAAAUUAAUAUGACGCAAAACAUUUUGGUCUACUGCACAACGUAAUAGUUGAUUUACCAUGUUGGGCUUAGGGUGUAACAAAGGAGACAGCUGUUUAAAUUCCAUAGAAAAUCCCUCUCAAAAAGGAAAAUCAACGCUAGGUUGGAUUUUGUUUAGUUUCUACCGUAGGUUGGGAAAGUCAGCAUAGGACUAAGACAAAUCCAAUGUGUGGAAUUUUAGUUUCUAAAGUUGGCUGGAAAAGGACUAUACUGAUUAGUGUCAUCAAAUGAAGCCAAACCCAAGAAACAGGGAAGCACACCAUACCAGUCAAUUAAGUUUCCAAAACAUCAAGUCUCUUAACUUCACUGAUUCUUUCACAGAGAGUAAUUUUAUCAAGUGGGAAUUUAUUCUUUAAUCUUUACCUAAAGUCAAGAUAUCAUGACCCUUUAAACUUGUUGUGGCUGCCCAUCUUCGCACAUUAACAUCUGGUAAAAAUUCCGAAAAUCUUUGUUUCUACCAAUGCCAUGAAACUUCACUGUUACCAUUUCAUUAGCUGUACUCUACAUGCUAAAAGCAAACAUACAUAUAUACCUGCAGAAAUUUUGAGUUCAAUCUUAGCUAUGGCUGACUAGCUGCAGGGCAUUCUGCUAGCUCAAAAAUUAUACCAUCUCUUUUUGGCAACUAUAUAUAUCUUUAACAAGAUCCCAAAACCAAUUUAACCAAGUUGGGAAAGCACUACUGUUAUCAUGAUCAUGAUAUGAUUCAGUUAUACCUAUAAACUUGAGGGGGUUUAAUUUCUCCUUACAUAUCAGACUUCUGAAUCAAUGAGUCCGGGCAGCAGGACUGCCUGGAACUGUGCCUUGUGGUGCCUAAGGCUACGCUCAGCUUUCCAAACCAUCUUAGCCUGCAGCAUAGUCUACACCACCACACUCUACGGUCCACAGCCUCUCAGGCAGCUAGUAGCCUACCCUGCAUACUCUUACCUCACCACCAUCCUGAUCGUGUCAGACGCGACUCUUGGGGACUCGCUGAGAGGCUUCUGGCAUGCCCUUUGCGCUUGUGUUCAGGUUAUGACCCUCUCAAUCUUGAGCCUCCUGCUGAUAGGGCCUGCGCACUUCAGUUACUUCAUAUCAGCCUUGGCAGUGGCUCUGUGCACUUUUGCUGUGGCAUUGCCGGGAGCAACUCACUUGAUGGCUAAGAGGAUUGCAUUUGGACAGAUUGUGAUUGUGUAUGUAGGCACUGCCAUUCAUUGUGCAGAAGCUGGUGAGUUGGUACUUAUGCACCCGAUUCAGGUGGCGUUGAGUACUAUGCUUGGAGCCUCAGCAUCAGUCAUGGCUAUGCUGUUUCCCAACUUGUUCUUCUACCAAAAGGCAUCUGUGGCAGCUUUUCUCUCUCCUUACCUUGCCUACCACGAGGUAAAUAUAAUACAAAUCUAUAUAUGUUACAUCUGUUGUUUGUCAUUGGCUUUGCUUUUGAAGCAACUCCAUAUGUUUGCAUCAUUUUAAUAUGGAUCCUAAAUUCUUACAUGCGAUGAGGGCAAAGUUUUCAUGAUAUGCAGAUUUCAUGAUGGUUCAAAUCAUGUGGACCCUAUAUAGUCUUUCUGUUUUUUCCGGUUAUAAAAGGCAGGCUCACAGAGGAUUAAAAAUGGUAAAGAUAUACAAAGUCUUACGAAAUAUGUUUAAUGAAGAGGGACAGAAUUAGGAAAGAAAAAGAAAACUCUUAAGUGUUUGAUUAAAAGAAGGGCCAGUGGAGGAAUAGAUGCUGUACUGACAUAGCUUCUUCAAAGCAAGUAGUUGGCAGCAUUAGCUUCUUCAAAGCAAGUAGUUGGCAGCAUUAAGUUCUUAGAACUUAUGCCUAUCAAUUCAGUCUUUUCCAUAUUCCACCACAAAAUUCUGUUUUUUUUGUUUUUUCUACUUCAUCGAAGUAAACCUGAAGUGUCACGAAAGACUGGAACGGGAAACAAAACAGAAUGUACCAGAUUUUUUUUGCACAUGCAACCAUCCACAAUCAAGAUUUCACUAACAGUUCUAGAUUUCAAUAAGAUUUAAGUGAUGCUCCCUUCUUCAUCUUGUCUCUUGAAUGCAUGUGAUACUGGGCCUAAUGGCAAUGCUUUGUGACAUUUACAGGUGAGAGAUAUGUGCCAAAAAUAUGCUGAAAACGCUAGGAAAAGGUUGAACUUCUAUUCAGAUGCCAUCUUGUCCCAAGACAGCUCGGCUGCACUUGGCUUUAUUUUACAAGCACAGCCCUUGGCUCAAGUAGGAGAAAAGCUCCUUCAAAGUAUCAAACACAAACAGGUAAACUACCAAUAUAUACAAGAGCUUGGAUUCUUUGGUCAUAUUUUUUGUUCUGAUAUUGUGAUUUAACCUUAAACCCUUUUGAAUAGGAAGCCUUAAUGUGGGAGAGACCAAAACUCAGAAAUAUCCUGAAACCAACUUGCAUGGAUCUGGGAGAAAAAUUGCAGGACAUAGAAAUACCCUUAAGAGGGAUUGCAAUUGCUGCAACUUCUUGUCCUUCUUUUCCUGUUGCCUUGAUUAAGAAAGUGCAACCAGAUGCUUUACAUGACAUGAAAAGGCGAAUACACGACAAGCUGGAGCAACUUGAGCAUUUUGCACCCUUAUGCAUACUAAAGAAAAAGAAAAAAUCUUUGGAUGAGUCCUUCUGGCCCCUCGAAACCAUUUUUCGUGAAGAUUUGCUGGCUUUCUUUUUUCUGGAUUGUUUGAAACUCCUCCAAGAAAAUACUGAGGCAGUUGAAGAAUGCAGGGAGAGCUACUCUGAAAAUGAAAGUUCACAUGGUUCAGAAAAUCAAAGCCAUGGUGGUAUCAAAUGGAGCUGGAGCAUUUCAUGCAUUAUACCAAGCAAAACAAGCCUAUUUUUUGCAGUUAAGUGCUCAGUUUCAUUAGGCCUUGCUGUGCUAUUGGGUUUGUUGUUUAAUGAGAGAGAAGCAUAUUGGGCAGGCCUCACAAUUGCAAUAAGUUUUGUCAGAGGAAGACAAGCAACAUUUACAAUUGCCAAUGCCCGAGCACAAUCUACGGCAAUGGGAUCAAUCUACGGAAUCUUGUGUUGCUUUAUUUUCCGUAAAGUUGAGAAUCUAAGUUUCUUACCUCUUCUUCCUUGGUUAGUUUUCACAAGCUUUCUAAGGCACAGCAGGAUGUAUGGCCAAGCUGGUGGAAUAUCAGCAGCUGUAGGGGCACUGCUGAUACUUGGUAGGAGACAUUAUGGCCCUCCACUUGAUUUUGCAAUUGCUAGAAUCACAGAGGCUGUUAUUGGAUUGAUUUGUUUCAUCACCAUGGAAAUCCUCAUAUACCCUGCAAGAGCAGCAACUCUAGCAAAACAUAAACUUUCACUUAGCUUGGGAACUCUUCAAGAAUGCAUCAAAGAUGUAGUUCUUUUUGACAACCAAAACAACAUGCAAGCUUCAAUCUUUCCAAAAUUGAGACAGAAACAGAAGAAGUUGAAGUCCCAUGUCAAUAAGUUACAAAAGUUCAUUGAAGAAGCUGAACUGGAGCCUAAUUUCUGGUUCAUCCCUUUCAAUGGUUCUUGCUACAGAAAGCUCCUGAGGUCUUUAUCAAAGAUGGGGGAUCUUUCACUUUUUAUGUCCAACAAAACAGAAUUUCUGUCAGUUGUCUUACAGAGAUGUGAAGUUGAUUCAGAGGACCUCCAAAAACCCCUGAAGUGCAUUAAAAAUGACAUAGAACUUUUCAAGAAAAAAGUUGAGACUUCACUGCAAUGCCUCCAAGAGCUGUCUUCCAAGAAGUCUCUUGCAGUACAUGACAAGCAUGACAUUGAGUUGGGUACAUCACCAAAAGCAAAUGAGUGUAGGUGUUUGGAGACAGAGAAGGAUGAGAUGGAAUGCAUUUUAAAUUCUUUUCUUCAACAUUCCAAUGAAGUAUCUGACAGAGUUGGUACCAAUACUGAAGGCGAGGAUCAGAAGCUUAAGAGCCAAGUUAUUGUUUGCUUGGCUGGCCUAGGGUUUUGCAUCAGUAGUUUACUCAGGGAAGUGAGAGAGAUGGAGAAAGAGUUUCAAGAACUGGUCAAUUUGGAAAACCCUUCAACCCAUGUCAUAGUAUGAAUUCUCACAUUUUUGUACUAACUUACCUGUAAAUAAGCAUGUUCUGCAUACCCAAUAUUACACCUCGGAUCUCCUACUUAUAUUAACUAUAAAUUUGCUUUUGACAAUCAUACAAAGCAAACAUAUGAAAGGAUCAAUGUUCUUUUUUUUGUGUGCCAAAGUUAUGAAGGGGGAGGGGGAAAAACUCACACACACACACAGGUACUAUGGGGACUUGAACCUUGGGAGCACCCCAAAGCCCUGGGCCAAUCUAAUUAACACUCCAUUGGUUGAAAGGAUCAAAGUUCAUCAAGUUAAACAUUGUACACUAUUAGCUAGUAUAUUGUGUUGUAAUCUAAUUUAAACCCAAUAAACUAUUUAAUGACAUAUAUUAGUUCAAAUGCCUUCUUUGGAUGAGGAUUUAACAUUCAAGACCAAAACAUAACUUUGAUUGGUGGCCUAAUCUGCCCAAAAAAAAAAACAAAAAAAAAACCAAUGUGAUCCUUAUGAGCUGUAAGGUAAUGAAGUAUACAGAUAAGUGAAAUUAAAGGUGAGAUUAAAAUAGGAAAAAUAAUAUCAAUUAGCAUAAUGAUUUGCAUCAACAGCUUCUGUCGUUUUCACCACUUUGUCCAAUUGCAAUAAUAGUAAUCUAAUGCAAGAAAGGCCUCCUUGCUAGAACUUUCUGCUCAUAAUUCAUAUAGGCUGGCUUUGAUUUCUAGCUAGCAGAGAUAUCCCAAAUUGGUCCAUGAUGCCAUCUGAAAUGAAAUGGCACGGCUCCAAUAUGUUUCUGCAUGAAAUCAAAUUACAUGAUGAAUAUCGACAAAAUAAUCUGACCCCACAUCACAUGUUCUGAGAAACAUGACCGAGUAGCCACAUUUUCUCAUGAGAUGUACGUGCAGAGCCUCAUCAGCAUGUGAAAGGGAUGCGUAUCCAAAUAGACACCCAAUAGCAUUUUUUUAAACUUCUGAUCAUAUCAGAUAAGCUUCAGAAGAAGAUAUUGUUCUCUGUUUGGAAAGCGACACUGCAUGGCUCCUUUAUUUUAUUAGUUUCUCAGCUGCCACGGCAGUAAAUUCAGAAUCUUUCCUUGCACUUUCUCAGCAACCAAACAGAGUCUUGAGUUUAACAGCCUUAAUUCUAUUAGUUUCUACUGUCCACUAGCUCAUUAUUAUGUUUCUGCUGCUGGCACAAGUAGCCUCCUUUUAGGCCUCUUUUUUUGGAGUCUCUCAUCAUCACACUUUAGACUUGAAGCUAUGGACUCUGCUGCUUCUCAUGACCUAGAGAAGCCACUCCUUGUCAAUGAUUUGCCGGUUCUGAAAAGAAGGAGUCAUGCAAGAGAUGUUCAUAUUCUCAGCUGUGCUUUCUUGUUGAUCUUUCUUGCUUUUGGUGCAACUCAAAACCUAGAGAGCACUCUCAUCACUGUGAGUUGGGUUUUCCAUUUUCUUCAUCUCCUUUGCUUUGAAGAAACCAAAAGUUGGUUUCUUUUUACCUUUUAUUUUUGGAGUCUUUUGAUGGUUUGAUUGGAACUUCUAAAUUGACAUAUCAGGAGAAGAACUUGGGUACCACUUCGCUUGGAAUUUUGUAUCUAUCUUUCGCAUUUUUCUCUUUGGUGGCAUCCUCAGUGGUUCGAUCACUGGGUUCAAAGAACUCUUUGAUCCUUGGCACCACUGGCUACUGGUUGUUCAUAGCUGCACAUUUAAAACCAACCUGGUAGAGCUCAUUAGACCAAAAUAAAUCCCAACACAGAAGCAGAUGUUUCAUUAUUUUUUUCAUACCAAGACUAAUCUUGAGCUUAAAAAAAUUUCCAUGAAGAUUUUUAUCACAAUGCAUAUGCUUUAGCCUUGAAGUGUUUCCUUGUAGGUGUAUAAUGGUUCCAGUUUCUCUGUACCUUGGAUUUGCCUCUGCAAUAAUAUGGGUUGAGCAGGUACAUACAAGUCUUUAUAGAAUCUCAGUUUUUGUUGUGGCAAAAGCUAGGAUUUUAUUUCUAACCUUAUUGUGGGUGGGUUCAUCAGGGGACAUAUCUAACUGCUGCGGCACGCAGUCAUGCCAGAGAUAAUGGCUUGCAUGAAGGAACUAUUAUUGGCAACUUCAAUGGAGAAUUUUGGGGAAUGUUUGCAUGUCGCCAGGUGAAUCUGUUUGACCUGUUAUUUAUGAACUUGUGCUACAUUGUUAAUCAAAAUUUAGCUUUUCAUUUUGUCUUAUAAUCUUUACUGUAAACUUCUGCAGUUUGUUGGAAAUCUUUUACCACUUGUCUUGCUCAGAGGUGGAACGGUAUGUGCCAUCCUUUCGUUUGUUUUGUCCCUUGUAGAUUAUAACAGUCAUCACGCACAUACAUUACUUGUUUGAUUUCGGGUUUAGAAUUUGUCAUUGUUUGAUCUGCAGGAGGGAAAUCCAAGCAAUACGACGCUAUUGUUCACUGUGUUUCUCUGCAGUAUGACCUUAGGUACCAUACUGAUGUGCUUCUUAAAUAAAAGGGAUGAUGAAGAAGAGAAGGACCCCCAUAAUGCUGAAUCUCUCAGCUUAUAUGCUUCUCUGUCAUCUUUGUCAAAGUCAAUCGUCGCUCCCAUGUUUGAUGUCCGGAUGCUAUUGAUCAUCCCCCUUAUGGCCUAUACAGGAUUACAACAAGCAUUCGUAUGGUAAUUAAUUACUUGACCAAUUAUCACUGCCUACUUUCUUAUAGACAAAACAAUAUCACUUGCUUUUCCCCUUUCUAAUUCACUGCAACAAUCAUUCUAAUUUUAGGGCUGAAUUCACCAAGUAUAUCGUUAGUCCAAUGCUCGGUGUGUCAGGUGUGGGUGGUGCAAUGGCAGUUUAUGGGGCUUUUGAUGCAGCAGUAAGUAUAUAUGCAGGAAGAAGUAUUCUGAUCGAUUCAUUUGCAUUGUAUUCACAAUGAGCAUCUUUUUCCUAUUGUAUAUAAGAAUAACUUGCUGUCAUAACUAGCCUUAAGAAAAGAAGAGUUUAAGUUUGUACCUUCUUUGUGAUUUAAUUUUGAUAAUUGAAUCUGUUUCUAAAGAAGCAAGAAACAUGCUCAACUUUAGGUGUUAAAAGCAAAGUAAAAUCCAUACAAUCCACACGCUUGCUAGACAACAUAAAUUCUGUUAUAGGCAGAUUUGUUUGUUAUAUUUGUGAUCUCACAUUUUGGUGCCACUUAUGUCAGUGUUCACUCAUUGCCGGCCGCCUUACCUCCGGUCUCAAGUCCAUCACUCUUAUCGUUUCUGGCGGAGCUUUUGUUCAGGCUGUCAUAUUCCUCUGGCUUCUUCUAUGUUACAGGUUAAUCAACAGUAGUAUAGUUUUGCAAGAGUCUGAAAUUGCAAUUGCAAUCUCCAAUUUGAAGACCUUGUAACCUCUAAUUCCUUAUUUUACCUUGUUAUGAUCAUGCAGCCCAUCAAGUGGAAUACUUGGAACCAUAAACCUUCUCAUAAUGGCAGCUCUAUUAGGGAUUGGUGAUGGAGUUUUCAACACACAGCUCAGUGCUCUGAUUGGAAUAUUCUUCAAGGACGAUAUGGUAUCAAUUUCACCACACUUUUUCCCUACUCUUUCUCCUUUAUAAGUUCUGUUAUUCAUGAACUUCAGAAUCAAAACCACUUGUAUUUACAAUCCGACUCAAAUCUGUUGCUUUCGGGGGAAAUGCAGGAAGGAGCAUUUGCACAGCUCAAGGUGUGGCAGUGUAGUGCUGUUGCACUCAUCUUCUUCAUCAGUCCAUACAUCUCAUUGCAAGCAAUGCUGGUGCUUAUGCUGUCUGCAGUCUGCCUCUCGUACACCGCCUUCGUUUACCUAUCCCAGCAAGGAGAAAAAGCACUCUCACUUCAAGUUCAGGUUCAAGUUCAGGCUCAGGUUCAUGAUGUGUGCACAUGAAUGAAAACAUCUUUAAAGAGAAUUGUGUCAUAGGCAUAGCCAUACAAGUUUUUGUACUUUUUUUUAUGUUGGUGCUGUCUCUAAAGACCAUCCCCUCUGUUGUUUCUAAAACUAAUGGAAAUGACCAUUAUACCAUCACACACACACCACCAUACUGUUGACAAGCACUCAGAAUUCGGUUCAAGUCCACUUCAAGAGGAUGGACUUCUAAUUUUCCAAUUUUUGUUCUCUUUUAUGCUUUUGUUUCCACUUAUAAAGAUCUAUUUAUGAACUGUUUCUCUUUCAAGUCUAUUGGGAGACAAAUAAAAUUGAACUGAUUCUCUUUCAAGUCUGGUGCAAGAGUUUUUUUAUUUUUUCUUUUUCAAGACUACCAUUGUGUUCGUGAUUUCUGCUAUAUAUAUUUUUUAAUAAAUAUCACGAGAUGUUCUGUGAAUAUUGAAAAUAGAUAUACUACUAGAUGGAGAACUAGUUUACAUAAAUAUCUUUUUCGACCCAUCUACAAUUAUACAUAUAAGAAGGCUAAAUUACAUUUUUAGCCUUCGUAGUGUAGCUCUAUUUUCACUUAAAAGUCCCUAUAAUUGUCUCUCUCUCUCUCCCAAAAAAAAGUCCCCAUAAAGCUAUUUCUCAUCAAAGGAAAAUCAAAAGCUAUUGUCCACCGUCAAGUUGACGGAGUGUCGACAUGGGGAUAUGUAAAAUACCCAAAAAGUCGACAUGGGGAUAUGUAAACGACAAGGCUAAACUGUAAUUUUCAAAAAAAAAAAAACCUUGCAAUUAUAUGUUGGCGGCAACAAUAACGAAUUGAUUAGCUAAACGCCCGUCCGGCAUUUGUCGUUGUCUUCCUCUUCUUCUCCAGCAACUGUUUGUCGUUUCCCGAGGUUUCUUCGUUGGAUACAAAGGCUUUUCUUUACCGCUUGAUUCCCGACCAUCCCAACGGACAACAACGAAAAUUCAGAGAAUCAGUUCAACUAUCUUUUCAUUUUCACUACAUUUUCUCAGCAACCAAACAGUGCUCAGAGUUUAUGAACUCAAAAUUUAACCCAAAUCGAAAGUCAAUCUCUUUCUUUGUCAACUAGCUCUCGAUUUUCUUCGCCGGCAGUGACCUCUCCUCUUGGCCUCACUCGAUUCGAAUUUGGACUCUCUCGCACAUGUUUAGGGUUUUAUAGCGAUUCUGUGAUAAACUGUAUUGAGAUCUCAAAGCUAUGGAGUCUGCGGAUUUUCGUGGUGAAGAGACGCCACUCGUCGUCGAAAAUUCGCCAAUCCAAAGCCGGAGGAAGCAUACAAGAGAUGUUCAUAUUCUCAGCUCUGCCUUCUUGUUGAUUUUUCUCGCUUAUGGUGCCGCUCAGAACCUGGAGACCAGUCUCAACACUGUGAGUUUAAAGUUUGAAUCUUGAAUUGAAAAUAAUUGCUUUCACUUUUUUAAAAUUGAUUUGGUUGAUGAUUUGAGACUGUGAUUUUGGGUUCAGGAGGAUGAUUUGGGUACCAUUUCACUUGGGAUUUUGUAUUUGUCUUUCACAUUUUUCUCUUUGGUGGCGUCUCCGGUGGUUCAAGCAAUGGGAUCAAAGAAUGCUUUGCUUCUUGGGACUACUGGCUACUGGUUGUUCAUAGCUGCAAAUUUGAAACCAACUUGGUAUUUACUAAUUUGCUUGUAUACAUACUUACAUGCAUAAAUGCAUCACAAUGCAUAUGUUUAUUUGUUGAAGUAUUUCCAUGUAGGUAUACUAUGGUUCCAGCUUCUUUGUACAUGGGAUUUGCUGCUUCAAUUAUAUGGGUUGGGCAGGUAUUAAGUCUCUUUUUAGUAUUUGGUGGUCAAAGCUAGAAAUGUUGUUUUCUGAACUUAGUUUGGGUCUGUCAGGGGACAUAUUUAACUUCUACUGCGCGUAGUCAUGCCAGAGAUAAUAACUUACACGAAGGAACAGUUAUCGGUCAUUUCAAUGGAGAAUUUUGGGGAAUGUUUGCCUGUCACCAGGUGAAUCUGUUGGAUCUUUUCUAGGGAGCAUAUAUGUAUGAUUUCACUGAAAGUAAUGUCUCUUAUUGAUGACUUUGUGUUACUCUAAACUUUUGCAGUUGAUUGGAAAUCUUGUAUCACUCGCCAUGCUAAGAGAUGGAACAGUAUGUGCCACUGCCAUCCUUGUAGUUGAACUUGUGUUUUUCUUGUCCUUUCUGUUCAUUUUAUUCACUCGUUAGACCCCACAAGUGUGAUGGCCCUAGUUUUGUUAGCUUUCAGAAUACGGAUUUUGACACAAUGCAUCAAGUUUUACUGUUCCCUCCUCUUUCUGAUUUCUGAUUUUGAGUUUAUUAUGUGUUUUGAAAUUAUGUGCCUUUAUAAUAAUUUCCUUCCCAUCACUGCAGGGGGGAAGUACUAGCGGCACAACCUAUUUGUUCAGUGUGUUUCUCAUCAGUAUGACUUUAGGUACCACACUGAUGUGCUUCUUACAUAAACGGGAUGGUAAAGGAGAGGAGGACCCCCAGGGCUCUUCUCUCAGCUUUUAUGCUUCUCUAUUAUCUUUGUCAAAGUCAAUCAUCACUCCUUUGUUUGAUGUACGGAUGCUAUUGAUCAUCCCCCUUAUGGCGUAUUCAGGAUUACAACAAGCAUUUGUGUGGUAAUUACUUGACCAAUUGCUGCUGCCUACUUUCUUAUAGCCAAAAGAAUAUCACUUGUUUUAUUCUGAUUCUUCUUUUGUUUGUUCCAUUAUUAAGCAUUGCAAAACUAUUCUUAUUUUAGGGCUGUAUACACCAAGUAUAUUGUUACUCCAACGCUCGGUGUGUCUGGUGUUGGUGGUGCAAUGGCAGUUUAUGGGGCUUUUGAUGCAAUAGUAAGUGCAAAUUGAGCAUCUUUUAUGUUGUCUUGUUCUUUUUUUGGGAGUGGCUGAAACGUGGAAACUUAAUUAUUAGAAAAGACUUUCCUCCGCACUAGUCUUCUUUUGGGAGUGCCCGGGGGGGGGGGGGGUUGUUAACUUCAGUUCUUGCUGCCAUAACCAAUAACCUACAUUUCUUCCCUUUGCCUGAUCAUGGCUUUUCUUUAUUAGACCAUUUCUUGGAUAGCAAGAAUGGAGCUUUUCUUGAUAUUGCAUAUGCAUGCUCGAUAUGUGGAGUUAAAGGCAUACAUUCACUCCAUGCUUGCUAGAAGGCAUACAUUCUUUUUAAGCAGAUUUUUGGUGUGCGAUAUGUUUUUGGUCUGUUAUAUUUGUGAUCUCACAUUUGGGUUGAACAUGUGUCAGUGUUCUUUGACUGCUGGUCGACUCACCUCUGGUGUCAAGUCCAUCACUAUUAUAGUUUCUGGUGGAGUCCUCCUUCAGGCUAUUAUAUUCCUGUGGAUUCUUUUAUUAUACAGGUUAGCAGUAUUUACAUGUAGCGUACUACAGUUUUGUAGACUUUGAAAUUGUUACAGUAAUAUCUAAUUCGAACAAUUGGCCGAAAAAAGAGAAUAUCUAAUUUCAAGCUAUUGCUAUCUUGUUGUUAUGAUGCAGCCCAGUGAGUGGUGCACUUGGUAUUAUCUACCCUCUUAUAAUGGCAGCUCUCUUGGGCAUUGGUGAUGGAGUCUUAAAUACACAGCUGAGUGCUUUGCUUGGGAUAUUCUUCAAGAACGACACUGUAUUUGACACCACCUUUUCUCUAAGUCUUCUCCUUUUUAAGUUCUUGUUCUUUAUGAAGUUCAGAACAACCAUUGUACUGAUACUCAGUCUGUUGCUUUUGGGGAACAGGAAGGAGCAUUUGCACAGCUGAAGGUCUGGCAGAGCGCUUCAAUUGCAGUCGUCUUCUUUAUCAAUUCAUACAUCUCAUUGCAGGCAAUGCUGAUAAUUAUGCUUGCCGCAAUCGUCGUCUCAUACGGUGCCUUCGUUUUUCUGUCGCUUCGAGAGAAAGCGUUCCCAUCUUCGAGUUCAUAAUGUGUAAACAUGAAAUCAUCUUCCAGAAAAACCUUUGUGUAUACAAGCAGGUAUAUGUUAGGUUUGCUACUGUCUACAAAUCCUUUCCACUUUACAUAUUUGUUGUUUGUAACAUGUUCAUCUACUUCAAUAGAAAUAAAAGUAGUGUGAAGAGUGCAAAUAUUCAGAAUUUGAAUCUGAACCACUCAUUGUGUACAUUUUCGUUCGAAUUCGUGAUCUGAUUCAGAGUCUUGCAACAUACGAUUUCCACAUUAAAAUUAAAAUAGAACCACCAAAACAAAUACGAGCAGUCAACAAAUAUGGGUCAUUUCCCAUCUUCUUCCACCUAAACUCCAAAAUUCACAAAGUCGUUGAAAUUAGGUCCCCUCUCUCUCUCUCUCUCUCUCUGAGACUUUUGACCCAGAUUUUUGACCACCCAAUCGCAUGCCUAUAUAAACUCCCAACCUCACCACUUCGUCUUCCCAAACCCAAAGAACAACAUGCUCCGCUCGCUCUUUACCUCCACCCUCACGACCCUCUCCUUGCGCUGGCCAGUGCUAGUCUACGCCGCCACGUGGACCACAUUGCUCACUCUGACGGUGGCCGUGGCCUCCUUCUCCCCCGAGGUCGCGUUCGUCUCCUCCAUUUCGUCGACGUCUUCCUUCUCCCGCGCCUGCGACUCGGAAGGCUCCGUUAGGGUUCCGUCGGACGUGCCGGGAGAUAUCCUGUGCUUGCCGGCUCACCUGUUCAGCAAGUCCAGCAUCGAUUUCAUCGUGCCCCCUGUUUUCGCGGCGGUUGUGGUGGCUGGGUCGGCUUUCCUGGUUCGAGCCGUGGGCUUGUGGGAGACUGAUGAGGUCCCUUGAGUUGGGCCGGUUUUUAGUGCUUUGCUGUAGUUGGACGGCCCAUGUUAUAAAUACACGGAUGAUAUUAUUCUUUACCAACAUAUAUAAGAGAAAUUGUUGUUUGUGAGGAUAAAUAUUAAUUACUUAAUAGUUAGUUACGUAUGAGUGAUUUCUGACCGUUGACGCAUGUAUAAUUUGGAUUUUGCAUCAAAAUCAAAACAGUAAUCUUCUUAUCAUUCUAGUAGACUUAUAAUAUUACUGUCAUACUAAAUAAUUUAUCACAUCGAAUAACAUUAUUUGAAAUGAAUGAAAGCUGGACUUGGUGGAGAAAAAGAGCGAAUUUCGCUUCCCAUUCCAGCUUAGGGGAAAAGUGAUUGUGCUAAGGAUGAUUUGUCAACCUCAUAUUAAUGAAAGAGCCAACUCAAAUCCCAUCACUAUAAAGAAGCACAUGUUGUAAAGAAGGAUAAGUAAAGAAGAAUAGGUGAAGCCCACAUAGCCAACUAACACCCACCAAACCUAACCAUACACCCACCAAACCAAAUCACUACCCAAUUGAUUGAAGAAUAUUAAUGAUGUUGUUGAUUGAAGAAUAUUAAUGAUGUUGUUGAUUGAAGAAUAUUAAUGAUGUUGUCUACCAAUUAUAUUGUGAGGUGAACAACCAAUCUCUUAGGCCUAUAAAUAGAUACCUCUAUCAAGAGAAGUUUACACAUAUAGAAGAGGAAGAGAAGGAAGAAUGAGGGUGAGUGAGUUGAGAGGAAAGAGAGCAAGAGAGAAAUUCUCCAAGAGAGAAAAUUGAGUGAGUCAUACAUAUUGUAAACACAAAGUUGUAGCCCUAUUAUUUUACAUAGUGGAAAAGUUACUGCUGCUGCUCUCCGGGGAUGUAGGCAUAGCCGAACCUCGUUAAAUACUGUGUCUCAUCUACUUUACGUGCAGCUCAAUAUUCGCACAUAUACUAGUUCAUUUUAUAACACGUUAUCAGCACGAGAAGCUCUCAGGUAUAAUUUUUGUGUUGCACUAUUAUCUAUACUACUAACCCUUAUGUUGAUGUAAGGAAGAAAAGUAGUGGAGGAGCUGUGGUCUGCAAGAGAGAUAUACGAGCAAACCAACUGUGUGCAGAUUACAGGUGGAAAGCAUUUGAUUUAAGAGACAAGCAUGAUGCCUUCCACAAACGAUAAUAAUAUUAUCUGCUAUACUAUUUGAUCGUGGUGUUGAUGAGAACCCACCAAUAAUUGCCUUUACUUUACCGCAAAUUUACUUUUACUUAAAGUAAUAUAAUAUAUUAUAUUUACUGUAUGGUGUAGGUUUAUUACCCAUACAACAGUAUUUAUUUAAAAGGGUGGUGCGAGUUUAUCGUCCACGCCUUUACUUCUAUUUAAAUGUAUGGAGCAGAAUUAGUGCCCAUACAAGCACCAUUUACUUUACCGCACAUUUAAUUUUAUUUAAAGUAUGGUGCGGGAUUAACGUCCAUACAACAAACAAUUUAAUUUAUGAAUUUAAUUUACCGCACAUUUACAUUUAUUUAAAAGGGUGGUGCGGGUUUAUCGUCCACGCCUUUACUUUUAUUUAAAUGUAUGGAGCAGAAUUAAUGCCCAUACAAGCACCUUAACUUUAUGAAUUUAAUUUACCGCACAUUUACAUUUAUUUAAAGUGUGGUGCGGGUUUAUCGUCCAUACCAGUAAUUUAUUUACCAGCAAUUUAUUUUAUGGAUUAAAUGUGAUGUAUGAUGAGUUUUUACAGUAUGCAGAUCAGGACCAGAAGUUCCUUGAUCCUUAUCAUACAAUUACAUCAGGACUUGAAGAUCCUUGAUGAUGAUGUUAAUAUGAGAGCUGGCAGUCUCUCCGGUACUAUAUUUGUAAACAUGUGAUUGGACUUGAGGGUCCUUGAUCCCUGACAUGUAAAUUAGGACCUGGGGUUCCUUAAUGAUGUAACAGUACCGUAUUGGUUCAUAAUGCCGUACACAUGGAUGAUAACUGUACCGGCAAAUGUACUGUACACAUGAAUAGAUACGUAUUCAUGGCUUGAUGAAUAGUACCGGAUAUAUGAAUAGUGACGUAUACAUAAAUAUUAACCAUUUUGGGUAAACCAUCACUAUUCAAAAAGGAACCUGCAAUUCCUUAAACUCAUGGAUGAGCAAUUAAAUGAGAUGCCAGAAGUUCCUCAAAAUAUGGACAAUUAUGUAAGGGCUUGAAGUCCAGAAAUGUGUACAGAAAAUUGUAAAAAUGUACAUACCAUGAGAAUAUGUGAUUUUGGCCCGAAGUUCAAAAUCUAAGGGGAUUGAAUGUCCAUACCAUGAGAAUAUGUGAUUUUGGCCUGACGUUCAAAAUCUAACAGUGUUGAGAACCUGAAGUUCCAACAAUUAAAUGGACAACCCUUGAGGUAUUAUUGCAAAUUGUGGUACGCCACAUAUUUCUUUGGCAUAAGAGAAUGAUGAAUUGAGGCUCCCCACAUAUUUUGUUAUAUCUGGGCCGGAAGCUCAUGAACCCAAAUAUAUGAGAUAAUAGCGUGGCUUUUACUCAAUCCAUAUUUCAUGUUCAUUUGAAAAGGGCAAAUAAAUUCUGAGUUUGUGUCUAGCACAGGCUAAAAGUUCCAUACGUUGAAAUAUGAAAUUUGGGAGAGACGAUGUGGUUAUUUGAACCUAUAAGGCACAAGGUUCCAAACCGUCAUUUUGAAAAGACGUAAAAAACCACAGGUGCAAGUUUAAGAAUGUGCGCAAUUAUUAUAACAGGAACAUACAACAGAUAGAUUUUUUCCUGCAAUGAAGGUGCAGGCCCUGUAAAAUCUAUAAAAAUACAUUAUGUUCUGGAAGCCUUUGAAGGAAGAGGACGACGCCUCUUAAGCUUAGCCAUGAGCCUCUCAUGGUCUCCCAAAAUUCUUUCAUUGGAGACCUGCAGCAUGUCUAGCCUUCUCAGUGUAUCAACAGAGUAUGAACUCACCAGUUUCAACAAGGCAUUAUUCUCUCCUUUAAGUUUCUCAACCUCCUGUUGAGACUCAUGAAGCAUUCUUUGGAGAGACGAAUUUUCAGUAGCUAACCUCUCAACCUCGUUUGCUCUGGCACGCAAACGAUCAGCCAUGUUAGAAACAGAAACAGCACUCUGAAUGCUAAAAGCCAUUGAGUCAUCAAUAGCCUCUUCCUCUGAUCUCCCUGUCAACAACAUUUCAUCCAUUGGAGUAAUGCAAUUCCUAGCUACUAUGACAGCAGUAGCAUCAUUCAUCAUCACAGAAUCAUUAACUGUGAGAUGACGAUUUUGGGAUAUAAAGGAUGGACGCCAAACUUGGGCGUCACUGGUUGUUGUGGGAGUAUCAUUUAAAUUGAGAUAAUUUGGGCAGGAAGAAGAGGAAGCCAUUUUUAAGAAGGUUUCGAAGAAAGUCUUAAGAAAACUAAAGUUUCAGAAAAUGAAGGAAGUUGAGUUGAAACGCAGUUGCUCCAAUCAAGUUUUGCAAAGGCAAUAUCUAUAGGAGGAAAUAUGACUACAGUUUCCAGGAUCCCAAUAUUAUCUCAGAUCCCCAUAUUAUCUUUUUUCUUUCCCAGAUUCCAAAACUUCACGUGGCCUCCAUUAAUGUUUGUCGGCACUUUCGGCGUUUUCAAAGUAUUAUUUUCGUCAAAAGCCGAUCUUGCUUUACGAAUUUCAUGGAGCUACUUUUUCAAAAGUAUCCCGAGAAUCUCGCAAUUUUCCUAUGGUUAAUUUGAAAUUCACCGGUUCUACCUAUUCCUCUUAUUUGUGUAUAAAUGUGUUACUAACGAAAUUUUCUUUACAGAAGACAUCCAGUUUUCUCCAUACCUAGUGAUGCGAUAUCUACUUAUUUUUCUUAUCAGUGAGCACUCAAUAUGCCCGAGAAGCAAGACUAUCUCUGAUCAUCCAUUCAGGAAGCGAGACUAUCCUUGAUCACGUUUCCGCCACAUCAGGGAACUGUGAAGGCGACCUUAUGCUCUAAUCUCCGGAAGUUCUUCUAGACUAGGAGAAAUGAGAGCUGGUUGUUUGCUCCCACCAGCUUCCUUCCUUGAUUGCUGAGCUUGUUGUCUGCUCCCACCAGCUUCCUUCCUUGAUUGCUUACCUUCUCUUGCAAUCAAUAUCACAUUAUUUUUGCAUUUUUUUUCUCUUUUUGUAACUCUCCGAGGAUUAUUUGUUUUUGACAGAGAAAAGAGUUGUGAUUUUGCUCUUGCAGGAUAUAACUAGAUCAUCAAGCGCUACAUUUACUGGGCCGAUACAAGCUUGAAUGAUACUUGAGAAAAGUUUCUCCCACCUAAGGACGUAAGCAAUACUUGUGUUAUUUUAUGCUUAUAUACUUAUUUGAUAUUUUAUCCGUUCCAAAAGAAUGGCUUGUAUGUAUCCACGAAUUAUUAAUGCAAAUUUUACAGAUUGCAAGUUGGAUACAUUGAUAAUACACUGCACAGAUUAAAGUCCCAUAAGAACAGAAUAUGGGUAUAGCAGUGAUCAAUAUGAUGCACACCUGUUGCGUAGCAAAUGAUGUGGAUUGAAGUCCAGAAAGGACAAUCCUUUGACAUGUCAAUAUUGAUAUUAUGCACGCCUAAUGCGUAGCAAAUUAUAUGGGUUAAAGUCCCAUAAUAUGGGUUAAGGUCCUAGAAAUUAAUUGACAUGUAUGUAUUAAUCUGUGACAUGCCUUCAGCAUGACAGAUAUAUGGGUUCUAAAUGUUCCAACUCCCUAAAUGGAGAUUAUCCACGCCCUACUGCUAAAUAACGCUCCAAUGGAGGUUAUAAUCCACAUUCUCACAUAAUAAAAGCCUCAUGAAGUGGCUUGGGUACCCAAAGGCAAAUAAAUGCUUAUAAUUGAUGCAUGCGCAUGCAAAUGAGAAUGGUGGGAUCAUGAAUUUAUGAAUGACAAUUUUUGAUCAUGAAUUGAUGAAUGACAAUUUUUGGUUUUAGAGUAGCUACUCAAAUCAUCAAUGGGCUGUGUUGAUUGGAACCACGUUCAAUUAUUAAAUGUCGACAAUAUUAUUGGCCAAAAUGGAAUGAGGUAAUUCCAUUAUAGAUGAGAAUGAACGUGAAAGAACAAACCCACAGUACGAACCCCAAAAGAUGUUAAUACUGAAAUUUAUACUUGGGUGUUCGGAAUAAAAGGGAAUAUACCUACUUUGUAUGACACACUGUUUCUGGCAGAAACAAGGAAUGUUGGGUUUUCUCCAUAUUUACAGAUUCAAUUGUGCCCCCUCUUAUUACACAAUUACGGAGACCAACAUAUUAUCUUUAAGGGUUAUUAAAUGCAUGGAGCAUAUCGCCAGAAGCGAUUUCCUAAAGAUAUAUAAAUAGCUGGGUAAAAGCUAUAUAAUGUGUCAUAAAGUUUAAACCCUUUUUAGAUAAAAUCCGUUGAGAGAAUUGACAUUGCAUAAAGCAAGUCCCUAAAGGACAUGUGCUUGAAGCACAAAAUUUGUACUCAAUAUUAAUAUGCAUAAAUUACCUCAGUGAGUACAUUGAUUAUAAUGUGUUUGCAACACAUUAAAGCUUCUGAAGAGUUCAAGAAAUAUUUGUCUCGACUUAAGGAUCGAGCAUUAUGCCAACGAGAUUCUUGCUUAUACUAAGAAAGUAUUGAAGCAUUUUUAUGAGGAUUAUCCGUUGGACACUUUAAUGAUUUUUCGGAAGUAUAUUGGACCGGACAUCAUAUUUUUCAGAUAGGGCUCAACUCCAUCACCAUCAUUUUGGGAUGAUGUGAGGUAUAUUUGAUGUUAUCUCCGCAUAACACCAUGUACGGGCAUAUUCUUUCAAGUGAACUUACAAAUAGCCCAAGUUUUGUUAGAAACGCGGACUCUGAAAAUUUCUAUGAUUUACAUAGAGAUAGCUCACUGGAAAUAUAUUUACUUACUCAACUACGAGAAUUAUUAAUGGCUAUAUCCUCCAUUCACUCCGAAAGAUUCUCACUCCAAAAGAUAGUCAUGAAGACAUCAGGGGGAGAUAUUAAUCAGGGGGAGCAUCCAGAAGUAUGCUAUACAGAUUGCUGUACUCUUUUUUUCUUCCUUCCAUCAGUUUUCUACCUCACUGGGUUUUUCUCCAAGCAAGAUUUUAAUGAGGCAACCAAUCUAGGGACAUGUGGUCUCCAAGGGGGAGUGUUGUAAAGAAGGAUAAGUAAAGAAGAAUAGGUGAAGCCCACAUAGCUAACUAACACCCACCAAACCUAACCACACACCCACCAAACCAAACCACUACCCAAUUGAUUGAAGAAUAUUAAUGAUGUUGUUGAUUGAAGAAUAUUAAUGAUCUUGUUGAUUGAAGAAUAUUAAUGACGUUGUCUACCAAUUAUAUUGUGAGGUGAACAACCAAUGUCUUAUGCCUAUAAAUAGAUACCUCUAUCAAGAGAAGUUUACACAUAUAGAAGAGGAAGAGAAGGAAGAAUGAGGGUGAGUGAGUUGAGAGGAAAGAGAACAAGAGAGAAAUUCUCCAAGAGAGAAAAUUGAGUGAGUCAUACAUAUUGUAAACACAAAGUUGUAGCCCUAUUAUUUUACAUAGUGGAAAAGUUACUGCUGCUGCUCUCCGGGGAUGUAGGCAUAGUCGAACCUCGUUAAAUACUGUGUCUCAUCUACUUUACGUGCAGCUCAAUAUUCGCACAUAUACCAGUUCAUUUUAUAACAUCACAUGAUAAAUGACAAUCACUAAAUAUAAAUGAUUAUGUCUUGCAAUUCCAAGUGGUAGGCAUCUUAGAUUCACAGGAUAUGCUUAUGCUUCUUAAAGAAUCAGCUUUUGGAAGCCCCAUCGAUCAACUUGUUGCUGAAGUCCCAAAGCUUUUUGGCCAACUUUUCAUCUCCAGCAUGUGAGCUGGGUUUCAUUUCGUUGCAGUCCACAAAGUAUUUUCCAGUCACACCUUUCAUUUUUGGGUGCAGUGCUACAUAUGAUGUUGUGGCUGCUCCCUGAAAACAAUCAGAGAGAUUGCAUUCAAAAUAUAUUUUUAAUUUAAUCCCUCGGUCCAUUAGAACAAAUAAUUAUAAAUAAGAGAGAUCAUUAGUUGGAGAUUAAUUAAUUAAUCACCUGAGGUACAUUCUUCCACAUCCAAAAGGUGAACAACUUGAAAGUUUCUGCAUAGCAGAGAUGGUGAAAAUUAAUUAAUUAUAAGAUGCUUAAUUGUAUAAAUUGGAAAUAUGCAUGGGGUAUUGGAACAUACUCAUCAAAAGAGGAGAAUGCCUCAUGAGAGGUGUCAUGAUCAAUCCUGGGUGGACUGAGUUGACUGUUAUGUUCACACCUUCUUCCUGCACAUAAAGCAAUAUACCAUGUAAGAGCCUGUAUAGAAUUUUAAAACUUUAUAUUCACGGUUAACCUAUCUCGCCACUUGUUAAUCACUCUAAUGGUGAAUAUCAAUAAAUCAUGUCAGCGUAAACAUGUUAAUUGAUAGUAUGACAACAUAACGUAUUAAAUUGGUAAAUACUGAGAGUAGCGAUACAAAGUCUUUGGUAUAGGUCCUACUGUAGGGUGUAUAUGUCUACGGGAGCCUGUCAGGUUACCCACUUGAGGACAGUGAUUGAUUUACAAUUUUUUUUUUUUGUUCAUUUGAUUUGUUUUUCCCAGCAGCAAUUAUAACUCUGUACAUACUUGGUGAAAGUUCGAUCUGUUUCUAUUUUUUAGCUCCCAGCCCUACUUCAUGUGCCUCCACAAGCAUGUAGGUCUCUUCACCAAUGCUUAUGGGACACUAGUUACCUACUUGGGGCCCUUGAUGAACCAUCAAACACUCACUUAACACAACUACCAUGCACCUGUUUUUUCUGGCUUCAAUUAAAUCACAGUGAUUAGAGCUGUUUUGGGGUUGGUCUGGGGUUCUAUGAGCACAUUUUUCGUAUACCAUGUGUCUCUGCACAACACUAGUUUCAAAUAAUUAAUGUGAAAUAAUGGUUGGGGCUUUCUGCAGACAAUAGAGGAAAUAGGAUCACCUGCAAUCGACGAGAGAGCUCAUUGGAAUGCAGUAAGUUUGCUAAUUUGGAUUGCCCAUAUGCCUUCAGUUCUGAGUAACUGAGUACAAAAAAACAUUUAAGUUACAGGAUUGUGAGCUAUCUGCUUAUAAAUAAUCAAUAUGGAAAAACAUUGGAUUACUCAAAUUAUUCCUUACCCAAUUCGAUCGUUGAUCUUGUCGAAUCGAAUCCCCUCUUGGUAAGGGGUUGUAUGAGCAAGUGAUGACAGAAUCACAAUUCUGCCUUCUACACCAGUAGUUCUAGCGGUGUUCUUCAUUUUGUCAAGCAGAAGGUUUGUUAAGAGAAAAUGGCCUGUAAAAUAAGGUUAUCUGCUUAACUACAACGCAAUGAGUGAAAAAGUUGGGAGCCCAAUUCUUUUUUCAAUUCCUUUUCCCCCAAUUCUCUCAUACGAGAUGGGCCUUAAUUGAAAUCUCAUACAUCUCAAGAGAAAAGAUAACAGUAGUUACCAAGAUGAUUGGUUGCAAACUGCACCUCUACUCCAUCUUCUGAAAGCUGGUGGGAGCAGAACAUAACACCAGCAUUGUUUCUGCAACAUAAAUCACCAAUUUUUAUAAUGCUAAUAUGUUAAUAAUUUCAUAUUAAACUAACUAAAUAAGGAGAGAGAGAGAGGAUGACAUUAAGAGGUUGAGAGGAAGAUCAAGAGCGUUGAAGCUAUCAACAAAUGCUCUAACAGACUUGAGAGAGCAGAGGUCAAGUUUCAGAACAUCCACUCGGGCACUUAUAUUUUCUUUAAUAAUAGCCUGUUUUGCUUCAUUAGCAGCCUCUAUGUUUCUGGCGGCAAUGAUGACAUGGGCUCUACGAAGUGCCAAGACUCUUGCUGUCUCAAACCCAAUCCCACUUGCCCCACCUGCAUUUCACAAACAGGAACAGAAAUGUUAAUCAAACUAGAAAGAGGCAUAUUGGCUUGCUCUCCGUCUCUAUAUGCAGAGUAGCUCUGCAACACAAUUCAGAAAAUGAUUUGCAAAAAUUUGCAUUCAAAAGCCAUAUUACCACUCCUAAUUUCAUGUUUAAUUGGGUCAUAUCUAUUUUUUUGUUCUUCUUAUUACUAACCAAAAAAAAAACCCAAAAAAAGAAAAAGAAAAAAGGCCAUUAACACCAGAAACAGAAACAUCCAAUGAAAUAAAGAACCCCACAAAGACCGGAAAAAAAAAGAAGAAGAAGAAACAAACAGCAGAAUUAAUUCACAGAGGAAAAUGCAAAUUUAGCUGACCAGUUACAAUAGCGGUAAGGUUGCUAGCAUCAACUCCUUCAGUGACCUGCUCAGCAGUUGAAGCUGACCCAAACCCACUAGGCCCUGGCCUUCCUGUCAUCAAUGCAAAGAUACCCAUUUCCUAAAAUCACAAGAAAGAGCCAGUCUCAAUCAAGAAACCCACAGAGAAGGUCACAGCACACAACGAUAUGAGCCAAACUUACAGAAACUUGGAGGGUAAAAGACAAAGAUGAGCACAAAUGCAUGGGAAUAAAUAUGAACACCGUGCCAGAAAUUUUUGAGUGUGAUGGUUUUUACGAGGUUUGAUUCAUAGAGAUAAACUUUGGGUGAACAACAGAGUUGACGUGUCAUGCACGUAGUGUUUAGUAUUAAUGAACAUGUACCAUAAUACCAAACCUAAAAAUUACUCGAGUAGGAUGAGUUGAAUGUAUGUAAUAAGUUUGGUUCAAUUGACCGAAAAGUUAUUCAUUGCGGUCACCACCAAUGUGGUUUUUAUACAUGUCAAAAUUUUCAAAUAUUUGUUUUGUUGUUGAAACUUUAUCAAUAUUGUUGGAAGUUAAAAGUUAUCUUGUUAUCAAUCUACUCAUAUUAUAACAUACGUUCGUAAAAUAACAUUUGAAUUAACAUCAUGUUCCCGUCACACUCAAAAAAGUUUUUAACAAAGAAAAUACAAUAAUAUUAAAUAAGCUUAUUUAAUAGCCUCAUUAAUCUGUUAAUAUCAAGAACGAAUGGGAUGUAAGUAAUUGUGAAACGACCAGAUUCAACUGGACAAGGGAAAUACGACUUUUUGGUGGAGUUUUAGUACAAGACCAGUUGGAAAUAAAAGCUAAAAUCUUGAAGAUGAUUGUGAAAAUUUUCUAGAAUUUUCGGAGCAGUCAAUGAGAGCAGUCUUUGAUGUUAAGUCAGUAUAAGGUGCAAUCCCUUCAAAAUAGUGCUGCUGUGGAGCAAUGAUUAUUUGAAGAUUUUUCUGAUUUUUUCUCAAGGACUUACAAUUUAUAUUUUUUUUUCGAAUUUUCUUGGAGGAGGAACAACCCCAAACGUGCAUGCAAAGUAACUGACGUGUUAUCUCAAUCCAAGUAGAAAGAUGAGUCAAUUACUUAUCCAUUUUGGAUUUAUGUUUUAAUUAGACUUUUCUUUAUGUUUGGUCUACUGUAAAAGCCCAGCUAGGGUAGGAAUAGAUGUGUGGUGUUUUAUUUAAGCAUGAGAAACAACUCCUUGAGAGUUAGACACGCAAAGACUAGGAGAAAUUGGAGACGCUGGAAAAGUACCGCAUUUGGCUAAGUUUGAUUGUUUCUUCCUUAUGUUUUUGUUUAUGUUGAAUUAUAUGAUUAUGUGUAACUAAUUUUCUUUUGCUAAGGCAUGAUGUAGCCUUAGUAUGAUAAUCUAGUUUUCUUAUUUUACCUAUCUAUUGAUUGCCGUUUGAUGUUGGAUUCUUAAUCAUUGUGUUUAAUAACUUGGUUGAUUAUCUUGAUGCUUGAUCACCAUCUAGACUUUUAAUUGAGUUAAUCAAAUGCAAAUUAGAGUAAAUACCAUACUUAAUUUGAGGCUUGCUUCUUGUGAUUAGGAUUUGUAAUUCGUCUAGGGUAAAUACCAUACUCCUAGAGUUUACAUGUUUGUUCAAGGUUUUCCCUGAUCUUAAUGAGUUUCCAUGUGUUGAUAUUUGAUCUAAAUACCAUAGAUGAAUUGCAAGUAGGAAUAUAUGUAACAUUCCACAUCGACCAACGGAGAAGGGUGAUGUGCCUUAUAUGUAUAUGCCCACCUCCAUUUAGCACAAGGCCUUUUGGGAGCUCACUGGCUUCGGAGUCAUGUGAACUCCGAAGUUGAGCGAGUUUGGGCUAGAGCAAUUCCAGGAUGGGUGACCCGCUAGGAAGUUGGUCAUGAGUCCCUAGAAAUAAAACUGUGAGGGUAGGGGGCCCAAAUCGGACAAUAUUGUGCUACGGUAGAACCGAUCCGGGAUGUGCCAUAAUUGUAUCAGAGCCACUCUGCCGGGUGGUGCAAGUGUGCCAACAAGGACGUCGAGCCCCUAAAGGGGGUGGAUUGUAACAUCCCACAUCGACCAACGAAGAGGUGGUAAUGUGCUUUAUAUGUACAUACCCACCUCUAUUUAGCACGAUACUUUUUGGGAGCUCACUGGGAGCCUAAAGUGGACAAUAUCGUGCUACGACAGAGCCGAUCCGAGAUGUGACAAUGUACGAGUUAGUCUAAAUACCAUAGGUAAUUCAUGAAAAAGAAAAACUAUGCGGCGACCUCAAAUGGUUAGUUAAUAGGUAAGUGAAUAAGAGGCUAGAUCGGAUUACUAGUGGUGAAUUCAUUGUCCUAGUGCUUUUAUCGAUUUGAAUUUUUCAUCCUUGUGUUUCGUGACUUUUUACUUGUUUUGUCUUUUAAUUUCGUUGUUAAUUAAAUCAUUCUUUCAAAAACCCUUUUUGUGUUUACGUGAGUAUGCUACGCGUCUAAUUUCUUGUUUAUGUAAUUAGAGUAAUUAAAGUAUUUUGUGAAGUAAAUUAGGUUAGACUAAUUGAAAGUUGAACUCAAUCUUCAUAGGAAUGACCUCGUAUUUACCAUACUAAAUUACAAUUGACCUCGUACACUUGCGAUUAUAAUUUGUGUUUAGACUAAUCUUUAUAAUCUCUAUUUUUCAAGUUGUCUAAAAUUCACAACAUGUCUUUCUAGUAGUCUUUUGUUUUUCUUGUUAUGAUUGAAGGUUUAAUUUUAUUUAAUCAUGAUUAUGCAUUUAUUUUUCUUAAUUAAUAAGCUUUGUCUGUAUGCAUUUGUUCUUCUUAAUUAACCAACCGCCACCCAAUAAGAUUCCUGGCUCUGUCCAAAUCCCAUUACAUUAAUUUUUUGACAAUACAAAAUAAUUAAAAUAACAUUUGAAUUAACAUCAUGUUCCCGUGACAUCCAAAAAGGUUUUGCCAAAGAAAAUACAAUAAUAUUAAAUGCUCUUAUUUAAUAGUCUCAUUAAUAUGUUAAUAGUCAAGAACGAAUGGGCUGUAAGUAACCCAGCAUGGAAGGAUGUCAUCAAUUUUGAACAAAUAAUUUAUGUAUUUAUUUCUUUUUCAUUGCUGUUAAUUUUGCUUAGUUGACCUGUAAAUGGAUGGAAUUAGAGUCGAAUUAUUAUUGGAUUAACCUAAUAUAAAGUUUCUGUCUUGAGUGUCUAUGGUUUUUUGUGAGUUUCUGUGUGUUUUUCUUGUAGUCUUUUGUUUUUCUUGUUAUGACUGAAGGUUUAAUUUUGUUUAAUCAUGGUUAUGCAUUGUUAUUGUUCUUAAUUAAUAAGCUUUGGCUGUAUGCAUUUGUUCUUCUUAAUUAACCAGCAGCACCCGCCACCCAAUAAGAUUCCUGGCUCUGUCCAAAUCCCAUUACAUUAUUUUUUUUACAAUACAAAAUAAUUAUCAACAAACGACCAAACUAUGAACCAUUUCAAUCAAACCCAAAUUCCACAAACAUAAGGAUUAUGCCUUGCAAGCAAGCUUUAUAUAAAAAUAGGCAUCACAGAUUGAGAGGGUGCUUCUUAAAUAAUCAGCUUUUGGAAGCUCCAUCAAUCAACUUGUUGCUGAAGUCCCAGAGCUUUUUGGCUAAGUUUUCAUCUCUAGCAUAUGAGCUGGGUUUCAUCUCGUUACAGUCCACAUAGUAUUUUCCAGUCACACCUUUCACUUUUGGAUGCAGGGCUACAUACAAUGUUGUGGCUGCUCCCUGAUAAAACAUUCAAUUCAGACAAUGCAUGCAAAAAUAUAUUAAACAAUGAAAUAAAAUUGAGAUUAGCUCAGUUGGUUUGACUCUUCGGCCUCAAGCCCUGUGAGCAGAGGUUCGAAACCCCAGGCACCCAGGAAUGUUUGUGUGUAAACCCCCUGUCUUCCAACCGCUUGUACUAAAAAUAAAUUUGAGAUUAUUUGAUGGAGAUUAACAAAUUAAUCACCUGAGGGACAUUCUUCCAAAACCAAAAGGUGAACAACUUCAAAGUUCCUGCAUAACAAAGAUGAUCAAAGCCAAUGGCCUAGCUGUGAUACAAAUUACAAUAUGUGAAAGUGUAUAUAUAUGUUGGGUGGGAAUAUCAAAUUAUGCAUGGGAUAUUUGUACAUACUCAUCAAAAGAGCAGAAUGCCUCAUGAGAGGUGUCAUGAUCAAUCCUGGGUGGACUGAAUUGACUGUUAUGUUCACACCUUCUUCCUGCACAGCACGGCAAGCAAUUUGCCACUUUAUUAGAGCAGAUUACUUGCAUAUUAAUUUACCUUCAUUGUCUGACUUUUCACAGAUGAGUUCGAUCAACACAAUAAAUCGCCUGCUUGAAAUUUUAAAACUUUCUGUUUAGGUUUUAGUCAAUUGGACCGAAAGAAAUCACAUGCCGACCUACACGGUGUAAAUUGAUAGUACGGUAACAAUUUAUCAAAAUUAUGCCUAACUCCCAACUAGAUUUUACCCAACAAAUUAAGACCCUAUCUUAGAGAGAGAGUUCACUUCCUUCUAGGACUCACAGUCGUUCAUGCAAACAGUCCUUAUGAUUCAAAGUUCACACACUGUGAGUACAGGAUACCUGUCUGUCUACGGGACCAUGAAUGGGGCAGUGAUUAAAUUUAAAAUUCCAUUUAUGGGCCUCCUCUCCGUCUCAAUAUUUAUUUCAUCAAUGUUUUUUGGUCCCCGCAAAGCAUUGAAGACCUCUGAAUUUUGUACGUACGGAGAGCCAUCUUUCGUUAACAUUCAAUCGACUCUUGACAGGACACCAUGUCCAUAUUAUAUUAUCCACCAGCCAGCCCUACCACUUCAUGUGCCUCCAUAAUCAUGUAGUUCUCACCAAUGCUUAUUGAAGAGUCUUUGGACAUUAUAGUUAACUAGUGGAGGCCAGUGAUUAACGAAACUGGGAAACAUUCACCUACCACAACUACCAUUUACCUGUUUUCAUUUGGCUAAAAUGAGAAUGAUAAAGAUAACUUGGGGUUGAGCUAGGGUUCUAUGAGCAAUUAUGUAGGAAAUAGGAUCACCUGCAAUCGACGAGAGAGCUCGUUGGCAUGAAGUAUGUUUGCUAAUUUGGAUUGCCCAUACGCCCUUUUGUCAUUGUAACUGAGGGGACACAAAAAAAAAAAAAAGACAUCAAGUUAAAGCGCUAUGAACUGUUUAUCAUAAUCUUUUUAUUUAUAAAUAACCACUGUGGAAAAAAGAUACCUCAUUCGAUCGUUAAUCUUAUCGAAAUAAAUCCCAUCUUUAUAAGUGUGUACAUGAGCAAUUGAUGACAGAUUCACAAUUCUGCCUUCCACACCAGUAGUUCUAGCAGUGUUCUUCAUUUUCUCAAGGAGAAGGUUUGUUAAGAGAAAAUGACCUGUAAAAUUGGUAAUUGGCUUAACUAGAACGCAAAUAGGUAACAAAGGUUUAAAACCCCUUCUUUUCAUAUAUAUUUUUCCCAAUUCAGGAUAUGAGAUAGGCCCUACAAUAAUUCCCAAUUCAGAAAGCAAAUAAGUAGGACUUACCAAGAUGAUUGGUUGCAAACUGCAAUUCUAUUCCAUCUUCCGAAAGCCGGUGGGGGCAGAACAUGACACCAGCAUUGUUUCUGCAACAUAAACCACCAAUUUCUGAAAAACUAAAUAAGAUGCAGAUGCUAAAAUGUUACGUGAAGCCUAAAUAAAAUAAGAGAGAAAAAGAUCAUUACAUUAAGAGGUUGAGAGGAAGAUCAAGAGCAUUGAAGCUGUCAACAAAUGCUCUAACAGACUUGAUGGAGCAGAGGUCAAGUGUUAGAACAUCAACUCGAGCACUUCGAUUGUCUUUAAGAAUGAGCUGCUUUGCUUCCUUCGCAGCCUCUACGUUUCUGGAGGCAAUGAUGACAUGGGCUCCUCGAAGUGCCAAGACCCUUGCAGUUUCCAACCCAAUCCCACUUGCCCCACCUGCAUUUCACAAACAGGAACAGAAAUGUUAAUCAAAUAGAAAUGUUGGGCUGUUGGCUUUUUGCUAGCUACCCAAGAUUUAUCAUGAGAAUGACUCAAUACAUCUGAUCGGUAGUCCCAAGGAGCCACAGAAACCCAAAAGAAAGGACAUUAAGAAACAAAAACACAGAAUUCAAAGAGGAAAAUGCAAAAGUUAUAGCUGACCAGUGACAAUAGCAGUAAGGUUGCUAGCAUCAACUCCAUCAGUGACCUGCUCAGCAGUGGAAGCUGAUCCAAACCCACUAGGCCCUGGCCUUCCUGUCACCAAUGCAAAGAUACCCAUUUCCUAAAAUCACACAAAAGACCCAAUCCCAAUCAGAAAACUCACACAGAAGCACAGAGCAAGUUCCCCUUUUUUUUUCCUCUCACUCCACAAAUAUGUGAGACAAACUGACAGACCCCUCUCUUUUUUAUAACAUUUGGAAACAAAGCAUUGGGAGAGGGGUAGAGGGUAAAAGAAAAAGAUGCCUCAAACCAUAAGAUGAUAAGAAGGGAAAAAGAAAAAAAAGAGGAAGGAAAUGCAUGGGAAAUUCAUGUAUGGUCUGGUUGAAUGUAGGUAAUAAAUUGGGUUUAAUUGGAGCUACUGUAUUGUUGACAAGUAUUAAAUGCUCUUCGGUGAAGAGCAGUUAAUUGGCCUCAACCAACCCCACAACAGCUCAACAAUGUAGCUUUCUUUGGAAAAUUGAAAGCCAUGAUCCUUGAAUUUAGUGCUGUUUUUUUUGGUACUGGGGAUUCUUCCUACAUCAAUUGGGUUCUAUUUUUAUCAUCAACUUGUGUAGAAUGAUCAACUAUGAUUGGUGUGCCUUAGUCUAAAGUAGGGAAGUCGGGGGUUGCAUUGCAUGCACAAUCACAAUAUAUUUACCAUUACAUUGUGUGGUGAUAUGAAACCAAACUACCAAACUACCCAACAAUACCAACUAUGUGCUACAUAUAUAAUUGUGAAUCGAUUGGAUCCAACUGGUCCCAGCUUGGAAUGAUGAAACAUCUUCAUUAUGAUCAGCUUGCUUGAAUGGACCAUGCUUCCAUUUUGGAAAAAUAAAGGGUUAAGCAAUCUAGUUUAGAUCCUUUUUUUUAACCGCGGUCAAAUUAGUCAACUGAUAAGCGAUGAUGCAAUUUGAGUGGCGGUUUAGGUGAAAUUAAACACAAUAAUUUUAUACUUGAAAGUUGAAACGAACACAUAUAAAACAAACAUUCCAACAGCCGCUAUAAUUUCUAAACAUCUAACAUCCUGACUAAUAGUCAAAUAAAAAUAAUAUAGAUAUUUGAUUCGGUUUAGGCGGUUUUCAUGUAGAUCUCUUAUCACCAUUCAUGAAAGUGUUAAUUAGCAUUGCUUAAAUAAAUUAAUAAAAUUCAUCGUGGUUGUUUUGGUGCUGGGGAACUAACUAAACAGGCAAAAUGCUUGUGAACAUCCACCAAUCGUGAACUAAUGUGUCUUCCUGCCUUUCUUGACUCACCAAAAUCCUAGGAUUGUGAACGUAGGAACAACGUUCGGGCAUUAAUUCUUUCUUUCUAUCCCUUAAAAGCAUAAAUAAAUAAGGAAAAAAAAAGAUUUUUUUUUAUUUUUAAUAUAAACGAUAAUCUAAACUGCAAGAGUAGAGAGUUUCUCACACAUAUGUUGAAAUUUAAAAUUACUGAUAUGUGCGAAAAUAUCUUUUUCACUGAAUUAGACCUGUCGAUAAAAGAAGAAAGGAUUUAAAUUAUGCUGGUUCAUGCAUUGACAUUAAAUAUACUCAUGCUCAUCCAAUCCUUUGAAAUGUCAUAAAAGAGUGUAGACAUGGGCGUGCGUAUUGGCUACAGAUACAGUGUCUGAUCCAUCGGAGCUAACAGUAGCUGUCUCUCUCUGCAGUAUUAUUGUAAGGCUAAUCCUUUAGAGGGUCAAGAAAAGUCCACGAGAUGAGACCACAGAAAAAAAGAGUAUGGAGCUAUAAAAUAUAAAUAUAGAAUGACUGACCCCUCUCCCAACUAGCUCUUUUUACCAAAACGGUGAAGAUGCUUGGAUGUCAAAAUUCAUUAUGUGUUUCAAUACCUAAAUUUGAAGAUCAAUUUGAUUUGAUAUUUAGAAUGAGCGGAGUGAUGUAUUUGAUUACGAAUUUUGACAUGAAAUUUGUUUGUCUUUUUCUUUGUCUUGACCAACAUGUCUAAUUCAAAUUUAACGGAAUUAGAAUUAUUUCAAUAUCGAAGUAAAUGAAUAUGUGAUUGAUUUUCCUUAAUUCUAGGACUUUAUGAUUAUGACAUAUGAGACGGUACAAUAAUGCAUAAAGGUGUGUGAAACUUAUCUCUAUUAAGGCCAUGUUUGGUUAACUGAACGGAUUUGAGGGGAAAUAAUUUCCCAUGUUAUUUUUAAUGAUAUACUAUAAUUCAAAUUGUUAAUUGAAUAAAAUAAUCAUGAAAAAUGUGCAUUUAAUGUUGGCUCAUUUUUCCAAACUUUCCCAUGAUGAGAGAAAACAAAACCCAAGUUGGGAGGAUAGCUUCACUUUCCUACCUACUUUCCCAUGUGCAAGAUAACCAUUUUUCAUACUUGGAUUUACCAAACAUAGGAAAGCAAUUAAUUUGUUAUCCCCAAACCUCCUUUUCUAUGAACCAAACAGAGCAUAAUAGUGCAUAAAAGUUAGCAGCUUUUUAAAACUAGGCUAUUCAAUAAGGAGGCCCUAAGGCUUUAAUUAAAAUUUUAAAAUCAGCAGAACUCAACCUAAUAUUAUUGACUGCAUUAACAUGCAUGUGGGGGUUCCUUUCUAUCAAUGGAAUCACAAUGCAACUUCAACUUGUAUCAGUUCCCCUUGCAAUACAAUAAAAUCGAAUUUUUUUUCUCAAAAAAGAAAAAGAAAAAGGAGAGUGGGUGGCAUAGUUAAGGAUUUCUCCUCUUUUUUUUUUUUUAAUUACAAAAAUUAUAAGGGUAAAAUUGGAAAGUUAUAAAAUACUUGAGAAUUACACUUUGUUGAAAAAUAUGGAAAUUGGGGCCUAGUUCCAAAAAUUACUAAAACUAAGAUACCAAUUAUCUAUCUACCUACCAAUUCAUUCCAAUUGUCCCAUGUGAGAUUCCUAAUCCACCUAUUAUAGAACAUAGUAUUUAUUUGAGUUAUUUACACUAUCAUCUUCUGAAGUUUCUUGUGUUUUCACAAAACCUCAUCAAGUCUCAAAAUUUACACGAAUAUCCCUUGAGAUUUCAGUUUGUUUUCACAAAACUCAUUUUCGUUGAUUAUUUGUCCAAAAAUUGAUGAUUUCAUUAUAAAUAAAUAAAAACUUAUGCAAAUGACAAAAUAAACCUCAAUGAAGUAUAUGCAAUCUAAUCUUAAAGGGCAACUUUGACAUUUGGAGAUUCUUGUGUGUAUAAAAUCAUCAAUCUUUGGAUAAAAAAUCAAUUAAAAGGAGUUUUGUGAAAACAAUUUAAAACCUCAGGGAGUGUUCUUGUAAUUUCUAAAAUUUUAAGAAAUUUUGUGAAAAAAUUAAAAACCUAAAAGAGUAUUAGUGUAAACAACUCAAUGUAUUUUCCUUCAAUAUUUCAUGCAGGGAUUGGCAUAUUUAUUUACAACAUUUUUUUGGAGAGAAAUGUUACAGGCUUGAAAUCAUUUGGGGCUUUUAUUGUAAUUGAAAAAUAAUCAUUUGGGCCUUUCAGUAUCUAGCAAAGCUCUAAGCCCAUUUGUCUACCUUUAUAUGGUCUCAUUCUUCUGAAAUCUUUUCCACCUCUUUCUUUUGAAUGUGGCAAUGUUCAGUUUCAAGAUCCAAAGUUAGAGUGGGCUUCUGGGCCUAAUGAAUAUUGUAUAAAAUAUUCCUUCCCCAAGCCAUUGCCUAAUAAUGUGAACGGCAGUUGUUUAUGGAAUUACUAUUCUUCCAAUUGAAGUAUUUUUGACUUUUUAUGGCAAAUAUUAGUAUCGCAUAUAUGCGACUACUCGAACUCAUAAGGUUAAGUCAAAAUGUGAGUUAGACAAUAUACCAUAGCUAGGGCAAGAGGUCGAAGCUACCCUCUCAGUCGCUUUUUUAUAACCAAAACAUCUAAUUUUAUUGUACACUCUAAUAUACGUGAACUAUACGUAUACUAAAUUAACAAAAACAAUUCAAAGAUAGAGUAAGAGAUUAUAAUGGAAUUAUAACUCUUCAACAAUUUGUCCUGAAAUAUUUUCGUCACCAUACUUAUCUGUUUCUUAUUUCUUUAUCGAACUUACCAAUUUAUGGAUCUUCUUCUUUUGACAAUCAUUCAUACUAGAGUAAAUUGUUUACACCAUAAUCAACUGAGCAUAUCCAACAUCAAAAAGACUAGCACCAAGGCAAACAUGCCUUCUCCCCUACCAAAGGAAGACACUCUACCGAAGUGGCAAACACCUGCCGAAACUCUCGACUGUCAAACCUAAUCUCCAAGACACGUGACACCACCACAACGACUUGCACAAAGUCCCACAUUGAAACUUUGUACAAGGCUCCCAUUUUUACUUGUACUCGAGUAAAAGAGGUAACUACUUUCUCACCUUUUACCGUUAUUCUGUCAAAGUUACCACUUAUAGCUGACUUAAGCAUCGGAGGGCAUUCGGCAGGCACCACAUCGAUGUCCGAAACUUGACGACUACUUUUUCGUCUUUGUCUUCUGUAGGUUAUUCUCUUAUCGAAAGUUCUCACAUUCUUCCCUGCUGAUGACUCUUUAUUUCUCUCUAAGUUGACCCUCUCAAAAGGAGUAACAACAUAAAUAAUUGUUUAAAACAAUAAAUUUUAGCUAGUUAUAAACUUGCGCGUGAAUUGGUAAAAAAAAAAACAAUAUAAUUGUACGAUUUAACAAGAUGAUGAAAUAAAAUGAAAGUUGAAUGAAAUGAUAAACUGUCACACAAAAUACGUUAACCAACGAAUAAAAUAACAAAUUUUUUUUGUUUUUUGGUUGAAACAAAUUUAGUAAGUUAGUUGUUUCUAAAUUCAUAGGAAGGAACAGAGAAGUAGAACUAAAAAUCACCGCACGUGCCACCCUUGAGAUAUGCAGCCAGAGAGCAGUGGACUCCAUCUGUUCGUCUAAUCCAUAAAACUAUAAAAAGUGUUCGACGAAUUAACGCUGUCGGUGUUCCCCUAAUUCUAAUUCCUCUCCCCAAACAGGGUGACAUUCCGCCUCCCUUCCUCUCAAUUAAAUUCUCUCUUCUUUUUUCUUUUUUUUCAUAAAUUUUGAUCUCAAUUUUUUGAUCCGAUUUUGUACAAUCCGAUUCAGAUCGGAACGGAUCGUAACCCCCAAAAAAUGGCGGCAUCUCGGCGGCUCCGGGACCUGCAAUCGCAGCCAGGGAACAAGAUCUGCGUCGACUGCUCCCAGAAGAACCCGCAAUGGGCUUCGGUAUCCUACGGCGUCUUCAUGUGCUUAGAGUGCUCCGGCAAGCACCGCGGCCUCGGCGUCCACAUCUCCUUCGUCCGAUCCGUCACCAUGGACUCCUGGUCCGAGAUCCAGAUCAAGAAGAUGGAGGCCGGUGGCAACGAGCAGCUCAACGCCUUCCUCGCCAGCUACGGCGUCUCCAAGGAGACGGAUAUCGUCACCAAGUACAACACCAACGCCGCCAGCGUCUACCGGGAUCGGAUUCAAGCCCUAGCCGAGGGGCGUCCUUGGCGGGACCCACCCGUCGUGAAGGAGACCCUAGGGUUCGGGAAAUCAAAGCCACCUUUGGCCCAUGGAGGCGGCGGCGGCGGCAGCAGGGGUGGUAAUUCGGGGAACAAUGGGGGGUGGGAUAGUUGGGACGACGACGGUUUCAGAUCGUCGAACGAUAUAAGGAGGAACCAGUCGACCGGCGACUUCAGAGCUGGUGGUGGUGGUGGUCAUGGUGGUCGUGGGGAUGGUGGAUAUGGAGGAAGCAUGCCCGCCAGGUCGAGGUCUACGGAGGACAUUACGAGAUCGCAAUUUGAGGCCUCGGCGGCGAACAAGGAGAGCUUUUUCGCGAGAAAAAUAGCAGAGAACGAGUCGCGGCCGGACGGGCUCCCGCCCUCACAGGGCGGUAAGUAUGUCGGGUUUGGAUCGAGUCCCGCGCCUUCCCAGAAUCAUCAGAAUGUGAAUGCACAAGGCGAUGUGUUAUCUGUUGUUUCUCAGGUUGCAUUAUUUUUGUUUUUGUGUUUAUUUUGAUGUGUGAUUGAUUGUAGCUGGAAAUGGCUGAAUAUUGAUACACAUUACAUGUAUGUUUUUGGUUUUGUACUUUUGUCAUUUGAAUAGGGUAUUGGUAAGUUAUCUUUGGUUGCUGCAUCUGCGGCUCAGUCGGCUGCGAGUGUAGUCCAGGCAGGCACGAAAGAGCUCACUACAAAGGUAUUUUACUUGUCACUCUUAAUUUUGUCUGAUGUUAGAUGACCAUUCUGCCAGGCAUAGGCAUUGUAUCUCUGUUCAUGCAUAUUUAUUCUGUCUUCUAGUUCCAGUAGAGUAGUUGGUUUGCAAUUUCUCUUAUAGUGGUAGUUCGAAAUUAUUGAAAUGCUAUGCACGAAGAAUCCGUUCUUGUGGUUAUUGAAAUGCUAUAGACAUAAUGGGUUUAAUGCUUAUAUUGAAUGCUGUGAAUGGAGGAACUUUGUAUGUGUACGGCAUUUCUUUUGGCUAUGGUAAUAAGAUGAUAUAUGUUUGGCGCCACUUUUUCUGUUUGUAAUUGCUUCUGUCAGUCCAAUGACAUACAACUUCAUGCUCCGUGCCUGUAAUAUGAAAUGUAUUUGGAGCUAGGUAAUUCUAGCUUUACUGCAAUAGGAAACAGAAAUAAACGAAACAAAACUAAAACCAAAAGAUCUCUUACCUUCUAACGUAACUAAUAUCAGGUACUCAUUAAAAAUAAUUAUAUUUCAACUUUCCAUUUGGAUCACCUUUAGAGAAGGACAAGGAAUAGAAAAUUGGUAGUAUUCUGAAUGAAAAAGCUACAUUCUCUUUGUUCUUUCAAAUAUUCCGAUAAGUUGGGUGAACAGCCCUGAAAAAGCUACCUCUGUUAUUCAUUUUCACCCUUUUUCACCAUUUCUACUAUUUUUUAACUAUCAAAUUUUAAUAGGUUAACUCCUCAGAACUUGAAGCUAAUGACUUGCUUCAUGGAUGUAGUAAACACCUCAUACUCAUAGUGUCUUGAUCUCCCGUCUUAACAUAUCAAAGUACCAUUAUAAAUCAUAACGUCUCCAUUUGACGUAAAAAACAACUACAAAAACACUCUAGCCCAGCCCUCUCAUGGUGUCAAUUACUGGCAAACCACCACUGCUAGUCAUUGUUUUAAGUAACAGCCAGAUUAAAUAUUAUUCCCCCUGGGGUAAUUAAAUCAACCUAAAUAUCCUGAGGUUUGAAAAUUUAUGAACCCGUUACCAUACUACAAAUGUAAGGCUAUUUCGAGGGGCAAAAAACAUCUAUUAUGAAGACGCAUCUUGGUAGUAACCCAUUACCUUUGUUUUCUCUUUGUUUUCUUUAUUUUUUACAUUGCUUUGAGUUUUGAGAAAGGUUUGUGUGUUUUUAGUCUUCAUCUCUAUGGGGGUGUGUGUGUGCAUGGGUGAGAGAGAGAGUUGUAUUAUUUGCUUUCGGAUUAACUAAAUAUUCUGUAUUUUUUUAUAUACCAGGAAUGCAUAUAUUGUAAGCUAACUUUCCAAUUUCUGAACUUUGAUAAAGGAGUUGUGUGAUUAAACUCUUAUAACAGGUGAAAGAGGGUGGCUAUGAUUACAAGGUGAAUGAAACUGUUAAUGUUGUCACUGCAAAGACUACAGAGAUAGGACAUAGGACUUGGGGGAUUAUGAAAGGGGUCAUGGCAAUGGCUUCACAAAAGGUUGAAGAGUACACUAAAGACGGAACAGCCUGGAAGGCUGAUAAUAACUGGCAACGAAAUGAUAGUGAACAAAAUGGAUAUUAUCAAGAGUUUAAACAGGAGAAUAAACAAUGGAAUUCUUCUGGAGGGGGCCAGUCAUCGAGUGGGAAUUUUAAUUCAUACGGCUCGAGUUCUUGGGAUGAUUGGGACCAAAAAGACAAUAGGAAGCAAGAGACUACUAAGGGAACGGGAUCCAAUAGCAGUGACGGUUGGGCUGGCUGGGAUGAUGGCAAAGACGAUGGAUUUGAUCAUUACCAGAGUGCAUCUGUUUCGAAGGCUGCUGGUCACAAUGGGAAAUCGGAUUCAACAUGGACUGGGGGAGGCUUUAACUAAGGUUAGUGUAUCCCAAGGAACAUACUUUCAUUGUAAUUUAAAACUUUUUCCCAGUUUUGUCCUUUUUGUGUUUAAAAGUAGAUUGUAUGUUCACCACAAUAGUAUUCCACGGCUACAAGAGGGUGCUAGAAACGUUAUUUGUCUUGAAUUGUAUUUGGCUAUGAUAUACAAGUUUUGAGACUCAUUCCUGUUUUGGUUGUGUUUUCUUCGUGUGUCCAAGUAGAAUCUUACAUGGUCUCAACAAAUUUCUGGUUGACCCAUAAGUUGCGGAAACAAAUUAUUAGCACGCAAAUUGAAGGCCGCCAAGAUUGAUGCCUAAGGUGAAGGAAAUGGAAUUUGAUGAAUGUGGAAUUUGUUAGCAGCUGCUGCUGACUAAUUGGUUGGUUGGUGAUAAAUUGGAUUUGAGAUCCAUUUCCAUGGAAAAAGACACUUUUGUUGAGUUUAGUAUAUUUGCAGAAAACGUUUUUUUUUUUUCCUUUCUUUUUCUUUCAUCUUUAAAAGAUUUUAUGUAACUUAAUUGGGGAUAUUUGGUGUUUUUCAAAGUUGUUUAUAUGUGUACAACUAUUCACAAGAGGGUUAAUUGCCCAAUUCAAAAGAGUACUGAAAUGUUCGAAUUUGUUUGUGAGAUUUGAGUAAUGAAAAUUUCUUUUAAUUUGCAAUGGUUCUAAGUAUGUUAUCCUAAUCCUUCAUUUGUGUUCUGAUAUGUUUUCUCCGUUUGAAAUCCCAGUAAUCUGCAAUCAAUUGAAGGCAUUUUCUUUGUUGAAUUAUUGGCAUGGUAUAGUUCUCGCAUCAUCCAGAGAGUUAUUUACUGCUAUGAAUAGCACGAUUCCGAUGCGAUGUCCUCCGAGACCAAGAACAAAUAGUUUGCAUAAUAGAAAAAACUACAUUCUGCCUCUCGAAUCUUAACCCGGUAUCUUUCUUCUUCUCUGUUCUACUGCCUUAAUUGUUUCACAUACCCUUACAAGGAGAUAAAACUAGCAAAUGCAUUGAUCGAUCUGCUAACAUUAUUAACAAAAUUGAACUAAACUCCAUUAUUCGUAAUUUUUUUAACAUGUGGAGUCUGCCUCGCCAAAUGACAAACUAAUUUACAUAGCUACAAUUACAAAUCCUGGUCUCCAACUGCCUUCGAUCAAAUCAUUUUUUACUUCGUGGUGCUUGUAUCACAAGUAUGGAGGACAAGAUCCCAUGUGAGGACGAAGCUAAUGCAUCUCCAAUUGGUCCCAGUUCAGCAUGCUCCAGCUGCUGGUGAGCCAGUUCUGCAACCAUGGCUGGGUGGUGCUGCUCCUUCCCCACGAUAACCAGGUCGUAUUCUGUGCUCUGACCUAUACUCACUACCGUCUCUGCAACAUUGCUGGCCACCACCUUCUCUAUGUAUUCCACUGACUCAUUAGACCUCUUCAGCUCUGCCACUGCAGCCUCAUCAACUUCCCUCUCAUGGCUCUGCUCCAAGCUGUCUGUUCCCUCAACCUGAAUCCACUUCACAACUGUGACCAUAACACUUGGAUGCGCCAGUCUCCAUCCAAACUCCAAAGCCUCACGGUCGUCGGGUCCACCCGCAAACAAAACGCACACCCUCUUCGAAAUGGUGGCACUUGAGGGCGCUCCACGCCUCUCAGGUCUGCCACCAAAUCCACGAUCCACAAACAAUGCCACCGAGCAAUUUGCACUGCUUAAUACCCUCUGAUUGACCGCUCUCCAAUCAUGGCCCAAAUUCUCCAUCGUCUCUUCAACAUCUGUUCUGCACUGUCUGUUAAAAGGCAAGAUGAUGAUCGACACCCUCUUUUCUUCCGCGACGUGGAGUAUGUCCUGGUGCAUUGUGGACAAUGCCGAGAUGGCCGUCGUGUGGCGGAUGGUGACUUGACCAACUCUACCAUACGCCUCAAAUGCUGCCGGGAUUUGGUCCUGCGAAACCCCUUGACAUAGGCGGUUGAUGAAGGGAAAACCAUUUUUUCGAACACGGUGUACCAUCAUAAUCGAAGAUGAACGAUCAGUGAGCUCAACAAGAUGCAUGACGUAAACUUUGAGUGGCGGUGAGUUUUCGAAGGCGGUUCCGGUUGACUCUAUGAGGUUGAUGAGGGAGGGUACGCUUCCGGGGCCAUGAAUGCAAGCAAGGAUUCGAAGGUCCUUCUGUUUCUUUGAGCUUUUGGUUGGAGAAUGUAAGAGACGGGGAGUUGGAGAAGCAAUGACGUCCCACGAGGGAUUGUAAAUGGCCAUCACAGCUGGAGUUGUCAUGAAGGUGGUGAAAAGUGCCAUCAGGACUAAAAUAGCAAACAUCUCGUCGUUUAGAAUCUGCAAAGCGAAGUUUCCAAAAGUUAAUCCCCCAAGGUGGCAAUAACAGGACUAGAUAGUAAACAAACAUAGAUGGAUGGACAGUGAAUAAGUGCAAGAAUUCAAAAUUUAAAUUCUGAAAUUCAUUACAAGGAAAUAAUGCAUUGAAAAUCUAAAUUUAAUGCAUUAUUUCUUUGUAAUGAAUUUCAGAAUUUAAAUUUUGAAUUCUUUCUUUGAUAAUAUUUACCUAUAUAUGGAUAAAAUAUAAUUUAAUCAAUGAAAAAUAAAGACCCACAUAUUAUAUCAAUUAUUUAGGUAAGCACCCACAUGAAUUUAUGUACCUAACAUACAGGUAAAUAGUGUUAUUAUUAGCAAUGGAAAAAACUUAGUGAUAAAUUGUGUUACCUAUAAGUUAGGAACAUAAAUUAGAAGACUACUUAUACGUUAGAUACAAAAAUAGACACAUAAAAAUUGUAUGUUACUUAUUAAAAAAAAAAAAGGUAUAUAAAAUACUAUUAUUCAUUGUCAAAAAUAUGAAAACACAUAAAUACCUAUGCAAUAGGCAAUAGAACAAUAUACCUACACCAUAGGAUAAUAUAUCUACAAGAGUAUGUAAUAUACUUCUACCACAGGGACAAAUGAAUUUCAAGAGACUUUCUGUAUCUGACAUCAAAAUUGACGUCAAAAUGGUCCCCAAGAAAAGUUGACAACAAGUGUCACCAGCAUUAGUACCAUUUGAGGAAUAUUCUGCCAUAAUUCUCUGCUUGCUAUGGAAGCAUAUUGUAGGCUUAUUUUUUGAAAUUGUCUUUCAUCCUUUCACUAAUGACAGUUUUUCACAGAGGCUGCUGAUGUGAAGAAGAAGUGGGAGAACAGUUCUUGGGGUAGGAAAUUGAUUCAAAGAGGAGAGAACGGUUUUUAUUUAAAUGCUCUCUGGGAUAUGUUUGCAAUAUUUUCCUUUUUUAUUCAAUGACAAAGUCAUAAAUGGCUAAUUAUUAUUACAUAACUUAUUAUUACCUGAAUCAAGGCAUAAUGGGCAAUAUUAGAAUAAAAAAUGAUUUUAAAAAAAAGAAAGAAGAUUACAUCAGAAAAUAUUAAAAAAUAAAUGUAAUCAUAUAUGGCAUAAGAGUCAAAGAACUUGUAUCAAAGUAUCCAAAUCCAAGGAUUAAACCCAACUUUGGAAUGAAAAUUUAGAUAUAUAUAAACUUUUCUUUAAAAAAAGCUUCCUUCCUAUGAAGCGAAGAUGGAAAAACUUAGUGUUGCGUGACCUGGGUUUGCACUAUGGAUUAAUUUUUCAGUCAAAUAAUUAAAAAUGAAAAUGAGACGAAAAUACAAAGUUUAGUGACUCUAGCAUAUAAAAAAAAAAUCUUUAUUAUAGUACAUAUAGUGCGUUUGUAUAGAUUUUGUGACCAGAGUGUUACAAAAAUGAAAUCUGCCGUAAAAUAGAAUAAUUAUAGUGUAGCACUGAAGUAGGUUCAUGUAAUAUUAUAACAAGUAUGUUUAUAUUGUAUAUUAUUAUAAGUGGGUAUUUGUAAAAUAAAAAAUACACGUACCUUCUUUUCCUUUCCAAUAUUGAGAACAAUGAGCUCUACCAACCCUUUGGUGUUCAUCAACACACCCAAAGCCAACGACUCUCUUACUGGUAUCAUACACAACAUGGCAACCAAAAACGUUCCCAAAAUCUUCCCUGUGCAGGACACUGAUAUCACCAAAGCCAACAGUCCCCAUGCCUUGACCCCUUGAAUUUUAGCCACAUCCGUCCUCAAUCCACUUGAAGCAAAGUAGAGAGGGAGAAGCAAACCAGACACAAAAUCUUCAAUCCUUUUGGUCAGUUUGGCUGCAAACUCCCCCUUUGGGAUCGUUAACCCGAAAACAAAAGCUCCGAAUAUGGCAUGGACACCGAUGAGGUCUGUCAUAAACCCGGAUAUCAUUACCCCGGCUAGGGUUAAGCAGAUGUAGGCCUCGUCCACUAAGCCAUCAUUGGAUGUGCUGCGUUUGGCUACCCAGUUCAUGAAGGGCCUGACCAAAGUUAGCUGAAAAGCAACAAAGGCAACACCUGAAAUUAGAACCCAAAGGGAUACUAAGGGGCUUUUGUGGUUCCCUCCGGCUAAGGCCACGGCCAAUGCCAGCAAUAUCCACGCAGCGACGUCGUUGAAGGCUGCUGCUGCCAUUGCUGUUUCGCCAACGCGAGUUGUGAGCAGUUUGAGCUCUGCUAGGAUGCGUGCGAGGACAGGGAAAGCGGUGAUGGAGAGAGCUACCCCAAUGAACACAAGGCACUGAGCGUAGCCCACUUUGUUCUCCCCAUGGAUGGCUUUGCGCAUGAGGAAUGUGACCCCUACUCCGAAGAGAAAGGGGACGGAAAUGCCUGAGAGAAUUUGAAGACUAAAGUUUCAAAAUUUGAGUGAAAUGUACUAAAAGAAAAUAUUGGAAAAUAUAUUGUAUCAGAUUGAAAUUUGGACCAUGCCUGCAAUGGCUAUGGUGAUGGCUUUUCUGCCACUGCGGCGAAUGGAGCUCAGAUCAAGCUCAAGGCCAACAAGAAAUAAGUAAAAGAGAAGGCCAAUGCUUGCUACGGAUUCGAGUAUGGGGGUGCUCCAUGAAGGGAAUAUGAUCUGCAAGAAGUGUUUGUUCCGGCCAAGUGCUGAUGGUCCCAACAAAAUCCCACCCUGAAUUGUACGCAAGAAAGUAAAAGCAAACAUUCUUUUCAGUCAUGCACAAAAGAAAAAAAAAAAACGUAGUUUUAGACAUAUAAGCACGCAUAUAUCAGCAAAAAUAAAAAAAUAAAAAAACAGUACUAAUAUUUCAGCGAUGACUUUAGGUUGGCGGAGUGGCUUGAGAAGUAAGGCGAGGAGGCGGCUAACGAAGAGGACAAGAGUGGUUUGAACUAUCAACAAUGGGAAGGCAUGGUGCAAAGGGUUGUCACCUUGCCAAGCCCCAUCUGAUGAAGUUCUCAUAGUGGUUAUGUUGAGCUCCAUGGUUGGUGGUAAUUGAAAGUUAGAUUAACUUUGAACCCUAAAUGACUGGCAUCUUUGUUCUUCACAAUGUUGAAUUGAAAUUAAAUGAGUAGCUGAUGAUUGAUUCUUAUAGGGGAUAAGAAAAGUACCAAGUGUUCUCAAGUCAAACCUACUGCCUUACCCACCCUGUUUACAUGUAUAAACAACGCUGCCUCCAACUAGACGGCAGAUAAUUGCUCCUCCCACUUAAGUCAAGUUCUUUUGUUUAUUGUUCGUUAUGCGCCACCAAUUAAUCCAGUGCUAAUCAUGAUGCUUCUUAAUUAAUCCCUUAAUCAUUGCUUUGCCUUGUCAUUAAUAAAUUUCUAAACUCUGAAUCAUUAGCUUGGCUCUUUUUCUUCAACGUCCAUCAUAAGUUGAUAACAAAACCUAAUCUCACAUAUUUUUUGGACAAGGAAACUUGUAACAAAACAAUACACUGUAUAUGACGAACACGUUAAUUACUUUUGGUCACACCGAUUCCUUAGAAAUUUCAAGCGCAUUGCUGGAAGAUUCAUCUGCUACGAACCUUUCGUAUUCAUGGUGCACUAUCUUCGACAUGGGAGUCUCCACGGCAUGCGCUACGUCAUGUCGUUGAAUCACAAGGACUGAUGAGACCACACCAUGAUCUGAUGAGGCCAACAUGUCUCCAACGGGGCCUAACUCCGCGUGCUCUGCUUGCCGGUCUGCCAAUUCUGCUACCAUGGCUGAUGGGAACCGCCCUUUUCCCACGACCAAUAGGUCUUGAUCUCCACUUCGUCCUGUGGCCAACACCCCCUCUAUAAUGUUAUUGGCUCCCACUUUCUCUAUGUAUUCUGCUUUCCCAUCCCACUUGCUUCUGAACUCAGCCAUUGCACCCUCAUCCAGUUUCUGAUGAUCAAAUUUUACCAUAAAUUAGUACAUACGGAAAAAGUUAAACGAGCUUAAAUUGUGUGAUUUGACUAAUCUAUUAGUGCAACACGGACAGGGUGAUGUGACGAAUGUGUGGUUAUAGAUGGAGGACAUAUUGCAAUGUGACUAAAUUGUAGCUAGGCACAAAUACCUUUUCUUUCUUUCUGUCCAUUUUAGCUGUGGAGAAGCUAUAGCUAUUAUCGAUGGACUUGGAGGGUGAGGGCUUUAACAUAAGCCCAUGAGGCCCAUUACUCUCCAAGCCCUCUUUCUCGACGAAUCUCACAACCGUCACUUUAACUGCUGGGUGUUCGGCCAUCCUACCACCCAACUCCAAGGCCUCGCGAUCAUCAGGCCCACCGAAAAAAAUAAUGCAUAUCCGUUGGGUCAGGAUGGUUGUAGGCUUAGGAGUUUGUGAUCUAGGGCGACCAAAUCCACGGUCUACGAGCACUGCAACCGAACACGGUGCAUUUUGAAGCACCUUUUGGUUGACCCCUCUCCAACUAUGGCCCACAAUCUCCGUUGUCUCCUGAUCAUCACCGUCGAACCUCAAUUGUUUGUGGAAGGGCAAGAUGAUCAUCGCCGCCCUCUUAUCUUCGGCCACGUGGCAUAUAUCUUCAUACAUUGUGGACAUAGCUGAAAUUGCAGUCGUGGGCCGGACCGAGACACGACCCAAUUGGCUAUAGGCUUGGAAAGCCCCGACAAUGCUGUCGUGCAGCUGGCCUCGGCCCAACCGAUUAAAGAAGGGGAACCCAUUUUUUCGAGCUCUUUGGACCAUGAUAAUGGAAGAAGAGCGUUCAGUGAGCUCCACAAGGUGCAUAAGGAAGAGUUUGAGUUGGGAUUUCUUGGAGCUCCGAAUGGACUCAAUGAGGCCAACCAGUGAAGGCACAUUGGGAGGCCCAUGAACACAUGCGACCACUCGAAGCUCGUCUUUGAAGGCCUCGCUGGUCGAGAGGUCACCUAGCUUGCGGCGAGGGCGCAAUGAGAUGCCACGUGCCGGCUUGUAAAUGGCCAUCACUAGAGGACUUGUGAUGAAGGUGGUGAAGAGUGCCAUGAGGACUAGAAUAGCAAAUGUCUCAUCAUUAAGCACCUGUAAUUAAAUAACUAGUAAUUCUUAAGAUAACAUUUUUUAACCCAAAGUUGCAAAAAUCACACAUCUUUGAUAUCACGUCAACUUGUCACAUACUUUUUCACAUAAUACUAUUAAAAACAUGUUUAAUGAAUAAUCUGACAACAUAACGCAUAUAUCAAUAUAUAAAACAAUGUUAAUAGACAGCUCUUAUAGACGUCCUCAAAUAGAAAGUUAGAAAUCUUGCACGCAAACAAAAAAUUCAUAAGAUAUAUAUAUAUAUAUAUUUAUAUAUAACACAAAGUCGCAAAUUUAUAUAUGUAUAAAGUUGCAAAUUUAUACUUUCCUCCAAAACCAUUACCUUUAGAAUAUGUAACUGAUUUUCUAGAAAGGCCAAACACACCAAGUUAAAGGGCAAUGCUACAGACAAUUUCUAUAUAUAUAUAUAUAUUAUUUAGACGCCCUUAAAUAGAAAGUUGAAGUCUUGAAGACGAAACAAAAGGUAAUAAUUCAUCAAAUUUCUUACAUCAAUAAUUUAUAUAUAUAUAUAUUUUGGCCGAACCAAUAAUUGAGAUUAUACAACCCAACUUUAAUCUUUGGAUGGAUUCACAAUAAAGCCAAGGCAAACAGGACAAACUUUACCCAAAGUCCUUGCUUUUUAACCUUUACAAACUUGUCUGUGUCCCUUAUUCUAUUCUUUUCAUGACUAUCUUUGUGGCAAAAAAAUUGGCACUGUGUGAGUGUUUGUUGCUUUUUAAUUUUCUGAAGACACGUAACUGUUUAAGGUUCUGUUUAAUAAUCAUUUCAUUUUUUAAUUUUUAAUUUUUAAUUUUUGUACGAAAAAGAAGGGAGAAUAAAGGUGAGAAUGAGAGUGAAGAUGAAAUUGAGAGGAAAUAUGAUACAUGAGGAUGUGAGGGAGGAAUAACAAAAGUGAAAAUAAAAACUAAAAAAUUAAAUUUAUUUGAAAUUAUUUUCACUUUUAUUACUCCUCGUUCCCAUCCUUUCUUCUCAUCAUCUUCUUAUCAAUCUCAUCCUCACUCUCAUUUUCACUCUUUUUUUUUUUAAUAUUUUAAAAUUAAAAUUAAAAUAAAAAUAAAAACAAAAAUAAAAAUAGUUAUCAAACCACCAUACAGGGUGAGGAUUGAUAUGAGCCACACAAGAGUUCAUGGAUUGGCCAAAAGCUUUUAGGAAAAUGGAGGGGGGGGAUCAAUCAAUAAAGCAAAAAAGAAGUGACAUAAAGUUCCAAUUUCCGCUGAAUGCAGUGUAAACAGACAAUAACGUAAACGACGGAUUACAAUGAGGAGGGUAAAAGUUGAUCUGUCGUUUUCAAAUGAUAUUGCAAAUGAUUCCCUAACAUGGCCCCAACAACUAGAACCGGCUGCCUUAAGUUAAUCCCAUGCUAAACAGUAUUGAUUAGCUGAUAUGAUGAAUUAGUUGUGAUACAUGCACAUGAAACCUAAGUUAAUUAUAUUCUCAAGUUUAGUUGAUUUUUGUUUGAAUUCACAGUCUAACACAACACGGCACCAAACAAUAUUACACAAUUCACAUUCAUUUUUUCAUAUGGGAGAUUUUAUGUUUGACAAGAUGUCAAGUAACGAUCAAUUAUGUUAUUAUCAAUCUCUCACAUUUCAAAUCCUAAUACGACUUUCACAUAAUAAGAUAUUUUAUAAAUGUAUAAUCACUUCUUUUGAGAACAAGUGGAGAGGAUACCUUUCGUUACAUUUGUAUGAAAUGUAUGAUUAAAUUGUAACUAUAAUUUUUUUUUAAAACACUUUCCUUUAAAUAGGUGUGAAGAGGACAGAAAAGAAAAAAAUAAAAUAAAUAAAGAGAGCUUUGGUCAUCAUACUACAAGCAAGAACAUGUUAAUUAUACAUGGCAAUUCAAUCAAUUUUCAUACUUGUUAUAGCAGUGCAUAUAAAUAAUUAAAAUGCCGAUGUAAAUGUGGUGGAAAUCAAUUAAAUAAAUAAUUAUAACUGACCUUUUUCUCCUUGCCAAUAUUGAGAACAAUGAGCUCAACCAAGCCUUUGGUGUUCAUGAGCACACCAAGCGUCAAGGACUCCCUAACAGGGAUCUUAAACAUCAAAGCCACAACAAACGUUCCCAAGAUCUUCCCGGCGCAGGCCGUGGAUAUAACCAGAGCCAGCAGCCCCCACGCCUCUCCUCCCUUGAUCUUCGCCACGUCCGUCUUCAACCCACUUGAAGCAAAGUAAAGCGGAAGCAACAGACCAGACACAAAGUCUUCCAUCCUCUGUGUCAACCUGUCUGCAAACAGUCCUCCUUUUGGAAUUGUUAGGCCAAACACAAAGGCUCCGAAUAUGGAAUGAAUCCCAAUUAGGUCUGUCACGAACCCGGCCACCAUGACUCCGGCUAGGGUCAAGCAGAUAUAGGCUUCGUCCACUGAGUCUUGCUCCGGGGAGCUGCGGCGGGCCACCCAGUUCAUGGCGGGGCGGAUCACCACCAUCAUGAAAGCAACAAAAGCAAGACCUGAGAUAUUCAAAAGCCAUUACUUACUACUUACAUGGAUAUACCAAAUAGUAACUGAAAAUAUAUAAAACAGCAGAAAAGUCAACAUAUAAAAUUAUAAUGAUUAGGCUUUAUACUAUUUCUCCAUUAAAAGUGAGAUUCAUUUCCACACAGAGAAUGUCCCUUUCUGUUAAACUAAUCAUACAAAAUAAUUAUAAUUAUAUUUAUAUUUAUUUAAUAUAUUAGGUGAAAAAGAAAACUAUGAAUUAUUUUUUGAGGAUAUUGUAUUAUUUUCAGACCAUAUAUACCUGAGAGGAAGACCCAGAUAGAUACCAAGGGGCUCUUCUUGUGUCCACCAACACCAUCACCGGCCAAGGCCACCGCCAGCGCCAGCAAGAUCCAUGCAGCGACGUCGUUUAAAGCCGCCGCAGCCAUGGCAGUCUCGCCAACCCGAGUGGUCAAAAGCUUGAGCUCCGCUAAAAUGCGGGCGAGAACAGGAAAAGCGGUGAUGGAGAGGGACACUCCCAUGAACACAAGGAACUGGGUGAAUCCAGCCUUGUCAGCUCCGUCGAUGGUUUUCCGGAGGAGCAAGGCAACUCCGAUGCCGCAGAUGAAAGGGACAGAUAUGCCGGCGAGGGCUAUGCCGACAGCGCUUCGGCCACUACGACGUCGGAUCGAGCUUAAGUCGAGCUCUAUGCCUACGAGGAACAAGAAAAACAGAAGACCAAUGCUUGCCACGGUUUCGAGGAUUGGGGUGCUCCAUGAGGGGAAUAUUUUGUGUAGGUAUUGUUUGUUUCGUCCGAAGGCUGACGGUCCAAGCAAUAUUCCACCCUAUAUAAUAAUUAUUCAACACAAGAUUAACAUUUGACCCCAAAAAAAUAAGUAAACACAAAAGAUUCGCGAUAUUGUAUAUUAUUAAAUGGGGAUUCUAAGUUCGAAAAUUAAAUAAAUCAAGUAGAUUUCUAAUAGUAUUGAAAGAGAUUUUAAAUUCGAAAAUAAAUAACUUACUGCAAUUUCGGCAAUGACUUUUGGUUGGCGGAGGGGCUUGAGAAGAAAAGCGAGGAAACGACUAACGACAAUGAUUAAGGUGGUUUGGACGAUUAAGAGUGGGAAGGCGAAGUUUAGAGGAUUGUCGCCUUGCAAUAAGCCACUUGAUGCGGUUUUGAUUGAAGUUAUGUUCACCGGAGCCAUAGUUAUGUAUGAACUAAGAUGUAAUAGGAUAUCAUGGAAAAAUCAAAGCAAUAUAUAUAUAUAUAUAUAUAUAUACAGAGGGAGGGACGGAAGGCAAUUGAAGUGUUGGUUGUAAAGUGAAUUCACUGUGCGCCCAGAUUAAAUUGGAUUUUUUUAAUACAAGUUUUUAAGGAGAAGUAGAGAAUUGAAUCUAAGAUCUAAGGUCAUCUCAGUCAUAUAUGGCACCUAAAGGGGUCGUUUGGUACGUCGGACUGUCAUAGACUGGACUAAAUCCUGGGACUGUCUUGGAUUAGCUCGGAUUGGCCUAAGCUGGAUUAAGUACUGACCUACGUUUGGUAAUACGUCGGACUAAGAAGUUGGAUUGUAAAAAUAGUAAAGACCUAUGUUUGGUGCAGUGUCGGACUAAAAAAUAAUUCUUGUAAUAUUUAAAUUUAAUUAAGAAUUUUGACUUAAAAUAAAUAAAUGUUGCAAAGAAACCCAAUUCAAAGAUUUAAAAUAAUAAUAAAUAAAUAAAAAUUCUUAUAUUUUUUUAAAGAAGUUGAUUUUUAAUAUUCUUAAAGAUAAUAUUUUUAACCCAAAACAAAUAUACCAAACCCCACCCACCCCUUCCGUCCUCUCUUCCUCUCUCCAUCCAUCCCCCUCUCUUCUCUCCUCUUUAUUCGACAACCAAGCCCCCCUCCCCUCCUCCUUCUCUCUUCUUAUUUUUCUCUCUUUCCCCUCUCUUUCUUCAACCAAAUCCAUAUCAGGUUUUUUUUUUUUUUUUUAAAUAAACCAUUAGAUGUUGCUGGGGUUGGGGGUAGAGAAAUGAGAGGGAGCCAUUGAUGUUGCUGGGGUUGGGGGCAGUGCAGUGGACGACGAUGGUUCGGAGGAGAUGGGUUUCCAGAGUUGGAUUGGAAGAAAUUCUAAAAAUACGUUUUUUUCUUUUAUUGUUGGGUCCAAUCAGAUCUUGGAGUUUUAGUUUUUUCAAUCAAGAAAAUAUACUUCUUGGAGCUUCAAUUUUGUUGAGGUAGGGAAGUUGCGGAAGAGAAAGUGAUGAAUGGCGUCAGGGAAGAGAAGCCAGGCCAGUGUGUUGGACUCGCCUGUUCAAUUUAGCGACAGUACUAUUUUGUGAACCACAUUUUAGGCUCAUUAUAUUAGAGGAGCUAGUGAGCCAUUUUUUUCACUGUUGGACUGCAUAGUCUCAUUUAAGUUAGUCCUCUCUCCUACCAAACAUGGGUUUUAAGUGCUAUUUUGUCCAGUCCAGGUUAGUGAGGCCUACCAAACAUGCCCAAAAAGUCCAAAACUCAUCUUAGUUAUGGGUCAAAAUAAUUUCGAAGGCCACAUGUAACCUUUAACCUCUAACCCUUCUCCCGGGCUACAUAUAGCCCACCUUUAACCUAGGUCAAAUAUUUUUUGUGACUGCCCAAUUAGAGGAUGAAUCAGGUGUGGGUGUGAGCAGGGGAGGACUUCAUGCAACUGAAAACCAACGGGCAUACGUUGAGAUCCAAGAGCACUAAUUAAAUGCGAUGACAUCAACGCCUUUACUUUAUUUUCUUUUUUCUUUUCUUUAAAGUUUUGGAAUGUUUUAAAUUCGUUUUUUUUUUCCCCAAAAUUAUAUAUAUAAAGAAACUUGUUCUGAUCGUUGGGAGGUCAGAACAUUUAAAACCUAAAAUAUGUCUAUAAAUUUCUUCAAAAAAAUUCACUCAUUUCUUACAAACUUUAUCACAUUUUUUACUUAUUUACUAUUUUCCACACUCAUUUCUCUAAACAACCUAAAUAGUAGUUUAAUUAAUUUCAACAAUACAUAGUAGUUUAAUAUAUGAGUGUUGUAUCAUAAUUUUUUUUUAAACAAUAAAAUAUGCAGGGCCUAAAAAUAUAACCAUACAUGAUUGGAGAGAUGAAAAUUUUUAACCCUACAUUAUUCUUUAAAAUAAUAAUAUUUUAGAUGGCUAAAUUAUACCCGUGCAUUUGGCCUGUAGUCCAUUACUAAAAAUGAAUGCAUAAAUAAAUACUCUUAACCAAUUAAGUUAUAAACUCCUUGAAAAAUUGAGUUGUUUUAGAUAUGACUAAGCCAAGUGGGUUAAUUACUAUCGAAUCACUUGUAAAAUCCACCCAAACGAAAAAUUAGCACCCCUUGCUCUUAGUUUUAGACAUUGAUGUGACAACGAUCAGUUUGAUGUUGUACAAUAAAUGUGGCAUGUGAGUUAGUCACAGCUUUAUCAGGAAUUUGAGUUAUAUUUAAUUAUUAAUUUAGUGUUUAUCCAUAAAAAUGUGGCUCAAAUUGGUUUCUCUUUUGUUGGUUAACAUCUUCCUCUUCUUCUUUACGACAAAUCCAAACACUUGUAAAUUUGGAUCAUCAAUACUUUCUCUAAUUCUGGAAAUUUUAAUUAACUAAUCACGAGACUCUUCCAAAAAAGCAUUGCAAUAUUUUUGUUUUUUUCACCACACUGAACUUGGCCCGUGGCACCCGUACACUGGAUCAUGAUGAUCACACGGUCCAUACUCAUCAAGUGCAUGGCCCCUCCAUGUUUUUCCUGACAAUAUGGAAAAUGAGAGGCUGAGGAACUCGUACAUUUUUUUGUUUUUUGGUUUUUUGUUUUGGGGUUGGAACUUAGAGAGGGCUAGAAAUGCAAGGUGUCCGUUGAGUCAAAGAAUUGACUAGUUAGGCAAAUACAGGAUUCGAUAGUGUAGUGAUUUGAAAUAAUUAUUCUCACAUAAAAAGUUUUGAGUUCGAAUCCUAGCAUCUGUGUAGUGUGCGUGAAUUUAAUAUGUUAUGGCUCAUCUCAAUAGAAAAAGUCUACACAAAAAAGAACCGAUAGCAGAUUGAAAAAGCUAUGGCUACAACUAGCUUCAAUAUGAACCACAUGUGCAUGGCAUGGGCACAUAACAUAAGGUUUAUGAUUAGUUGUACGUCGAACAAAGCAGCUGCUAAUAAGUUGCUUUCUUUGUUCACUCUUUCGGCUUUGGUCCAUACGCUCUUUAUAUCUGAGUAUGAGAAUUGAGACAUUCAUGGCCACAAGUUGGUAGUUGCCACUUUCCAACAUGUUCCAAAUUAGACUACGAGGACCCAUAUGCAUGUUGUGGCCCAAAAACCAAUAUCACUCAUUAAUUUUCUAAAUUUUUUUAAAUAUGAAAACAAGAAUUAAUGAAUUUUAUUUUAUUUUAAUUUUCUGAAUUAAGUGUUAAUUAGUUUUGUACCUUAAUAUAUUAAUUUUUUAAAUAUUUAAUAUAUAAAUUUAUAAUUACUCCAACAUAGUCAUGAGUGUUGGUCCACCAAGAAAAUCGGUUUUUUUUUUUUUUGGUUUUGUUUUGUGGGAUCAAAUACCUGAACAAUAUCCACCAACAAAUCCAAGAGACCGACCGACAUAAAAUAAGAAAAAGUAUCCUACAUCUCUGUUUUCAUUGAACCAAAUGAUUAUUUUAUUUAGCGUACGUUCUUGAAAGAAAAUGAAACAAUUAUUAGACAAGAUCCAAUGGGGUUUUGCUAUGCUUAGUUCUGAAUAAAAUAAUUAGCACUGAUUUGCUUUGCUCUAAGAAGUAUUUGGUUUGUAUUGGAUUGUUGAGUUGGACAAAUUUAAUUGGCAUGCAAACCCUAAUUAUGAAAUCGUCCAAAAAGUAGAAAACAAAUCUGACUGUAUGGAGCCACGAAGCCACUCUGAUAAGUAUCUGAUCCAGUUGAGGAUCUUUGCCGGUUGUUUCACUUUGCUUGUAGCGCCUUCUUUCUUCGACUAAUGUAGCCUCACCUACCUAUCAAAUUGUGUUUCAAUAGAAAUAGACAAAUCAGAGAUUCGUGAAGUUCAUGGAGGAAUUAAUACAAGGAUGUUUCAGCUCCUUUCGAGUUGUGCUUAUACAACCCUUGAACCCAACAGCAAAAUUGGAAAUGUGUGAACAAUACAUGUCAAGCUAGUACUUUGCUUCACUUGCAUACCUUUGAAGCGAUUACUUUGAAACGAUAUCUUUGAUAUCAUGUUAGACAAUUAUUGAACCUAUAAAACUUAACGUAGUCAAUGAGACAACAAUGUAUAUAUAUCUAGCUAACGUAGUCAAUUAAACUAGUUUAUUAUAACAAUGUGGAUCUGUUUUAUUUGUUUUGUUAACAUGAUCAUUGAACUAAAUGCAAGUAGCUAGAUUCAAUGGACCUCCUAGAUUUGGAAGUAAUCACAUUUUCAAUAAUCCAAGAGAAGAAAGGAAAUAGGUAUUCGUUUUGUGAUCCUUUUCUUGACAAAGAUUGAUGGACACGAAACGUUGCAUAUAUAAAGAACAAUGAAAAGGUGGAAAAGACAUAUAUAGCAUCAGUGAAAAUGAUUGCAUAAGAUAUAUCACCUCCUAAACCUAAUUGAUUGAAAAUAAGUUUCCUAGAGUUUGCAUUGCACAAAUACACGAAUAGCUCUGAGCUGGUGCCAUGUGAAAGUCCUUGUUCUUGUUUUGUUUUUGGGACAUACCAACUUGAUAUAAUUGAACUUCCUUGUUGGAGAUUCAGCGGGUCUCGGAGAAUCAAAAGUAAGCAAAGUUCCAUUUGUCGAAGAAAAAAUGGAAUAAAAUAGGUUUUUUUUUCUUUCUUGGUUUCAAACUGACAGAGAUUGAUUAUUGUCACGUAUGCAUGCAUAUGAACAUGGAGGCGGCGAAAAGACAAAACGUUGUACACUUUGAAGUUUCGGUUGUGUUGUUUCAUUGAAGGAAUAUGUAUCGCAUUGGAUUCAUCCGAUGUGUGGUUUGGAUGGUGCACAUAUGGGGAAACAGAGUGUAUCAAUUAUUAAAGCUCUAACCUUACAAUGUUGAUUGUUUGAGUUGAGACCAAUUCAUCUUUAUUUGAUUGAUAUGAUUUACGUGAAAACCGCUGGAUCAAAUAAAAUGAAGAGCUUUAUUGUGAAAUGAUAUAAAGUGGAUAUGACUAUGAAAAAGUAACCAUUUUCAUGACUCAAAUCUCGAUUGAGAUGGUAAAUUGAGUUGGAUACUCACAUUCUAAUAAGACAUCACUAAAAGAAGAGGUUAGAGUUUUUAACUUUAGAAAGAAAAAGUAAAAUAAAGUAUUGGAUUUCAACUUAGCUUAGCUCAAUUUCCUCUUCACUUAUAUUUGGGUUUCCUUUUUAAAAUCAAAUACUUUCAUGGUAAAAUUCGGCCAAUACAUCGAUAUAUCUUGAUUUUCAAGUGUUGACGUUGAUAUUGGGAGGUAAGGUCAUAUCGUCCCCGUAUCAACGAUAUAUCCCCGAUAUGUUGUCGACAUCGUCACUAUUUCCCGAUACCCAUAACAAAAUUCAUAAAAUUUUCAGAAGUUUUGAAGGCAAUUGAUGCAAAUUGAAACCCAAAAAUCUCUAAUCAUUAUUAUAAUAUGCAAUUAAGUUAAAUAGAGGAAAUUAAAGCUUAAUUGGAACACCUAUGAACUAAACAAGCCAUUAAAUCAUACCCAGAACCCUAUAAUAUAUUAAUAUAAAGAAUCUAUCUAUAGUCCACUACCCACAUAUCUCCAAAAACAUCUAACUACCUUUAUGCAUAUGGUUUAUUCAUUCUAAUCAACGUUUUAUUUUCACAUUUUUUAUUAACGCGCAUUACAUACCACUUAUAUUUCAUCAUAUAUAUAUAUAUAUAUAUAUAUCUUAUACUUAGUAAAUUUUGAGUUUAUUUGUUCAAUACAUUUAUUAUAAUGUACAUAACAUCUACAAAAGUUUUACUCUAAAAUUCUGUGUUCCAAAACUUACAAGUCAUUUCUAUUGAUUUUUUUUCAAUACCUAAAAUAAUAGGCCCGAUAUAUCUGCAUAGCCGAUCUUUUAAUCCUUAAAUACUUCCAGUUGGUGUUGAUAUUGUGUUCAUAAUUUUGACAGAAAAUUGGCAAAUGAAUGAAAGGGAGCCCAAAGGGCAACUGGGCCAAGUUCAUACAAUUCAUUCAAAAACAUUGAUCCAGUAGGGAAGUGGGUUCAAGCAUGUAUGUUAUUAAAAUUGGGGAGCUUCCAAGGACACCCAACUAAUUUUCUGUUUUUCGACAAUUGGGUGUGCAUAGAAAACUCCAAACUCAUAAAUAUUUGAACCCAUUGGGCUAAACCGGGCAUAGUGUAUGAACGAGUUAUAAAAAUCUGGUCCAAUUAUCCAAAUUUAUACUGAGUCUUGUAACCCCAAAAAGGGCAUGGACUUUUGAAUGAAUUAUAUGAAUUUGGCCCACUUACCAAAAUUUAAAAUGAUUUUGAUCAAGCACUUUAAAAAAACCAACCAUGGAUGAUUUGGCCUAUUUUUACAAUGGCCCAAUCAUUGGCAUUCAGCCCAUUUUCUAGUAAGCUGAAACCAACUCUGAUUUUAGAAAGCUAGGGACCUUCCAGUGUUUGCAAAAUGGAAUUUCAACAUUGGAAACCAAAGAGAUCAAAAUCAACAAUUGCAAUUCAUGCAAACCAUCAAAGAUGACAAAAUGGAUUGAGAAAACAAGUAGAUUUUCAUUUCAUAAUCAACCUAGAAAAACAUCAACUUCAAGCAACUGCUUCCUAAACUACCCAACAACCACAACACCAAUUAACCCCUUUACAAUUCCCAAUUCGAAACCCUAAAAAUCCUAACCACCAAACCCGUAC